rnacentral:lncRNA from 1 species
AUAGGUAAAGAUGUCGGGGGAGAGGUCACUACAGAUAAAUUUCGGAGAUGCUAUGAAUAGAAUAUCAACUUCUUAUAACAGUUGUCAUAUUCAUCAGGAGUGAUUUUAAACAAUUCUUCCCUUGACACUUGAUUUGAUAUUUGUACACCAAGGGUGGUUCAUUGGGUCGUAUCUAUGGCUAAGGAUAAGGUUGUUUGGUCUCCUGGAAUGGAAAGAGUUUCUUUGUGGUUUUGCAAUUGCCAAGCUAUUUGGUGGUGUAUAGUUGGAUACAAGCUAGCCUAGGUAUGUCUAGGAUUUGGGAUUGGAUUUUAAUAGGCUCGGUUAAGUUUUGAUCACAAAAGGACAUGGUAAGGUUUGGAAAAAGAGUUAUGACAAGUGUCCCACGAUCCAGGAUAACAUGUAGAGUACCUAGAUUCACAUCUUGGUAUUUUUAGAAUCUUGUAUUGAGGAUAGAAAGUGAUACCUUUAGUGGCUAUCCUUUUCUUCCAUGAUGCGUCAAUGCAACAUGAAUAGCACAAAAAUGGAUAUGGGUAUGACCAUGGUUUCUCCACUCUUUUGGGAAGUUUUGUGGCAGUUUUCAUAGAGAUAAAAUGGUUAUCAAGAGUCACAAGGAUAUGCUGGUAAAGAGUUAUGGCUGCAAAGUAUUUCUUAACUCCCUUUGACCUAUUCUGAUGCAGGGAAUGAAUCUGCAUCCAUGGAUUACAUGCUUUCUUAACAAAGGCAGAGUAAGGGUUAGGUAGAGGUAUAUAUGUGGAGUAUAUAUCCUGUUCGGGCUGUAACUCCUAUACUUCAUAGAGAUUGUCAUAUUUACAUGACAAUGUCUUGUGAGUGGUUGGUAACAUGGCUAGCUAAGGAAGGAACCGGUACAGAUUGGACAAAGUGGAAGAAACUAUAGAGAAAGACAUAUUUUUGUAUUUUUUAGGACCAUAAUGACUCGAUGUAUUUGUUCUAAAGAUCUAUGGAAAAGACCCAAUAAAAUAAAAAUCUUUUUGUUUUUUUAUGGACUAACUCAAUAUAUUUGUGCUAAGGAUCUAAGGACACAACAAAUAUUUGUUCUAAAAUCUAAUAAAGUAACUACGUCUCAAUUUUGUACAAUACGUAGACAACUAUACUGGGAAACACUGACUCUGACAAUUGAAAUGAAACUAUGACUCUAAUAUAUACAAAAAAUGAGUAAUACACUUGAAAGAUAAAACUAAGGAUGGAUCUAAGUGUAGUAGUUUGGACAAGUGAAGAGUAAAACCAAAAGAAAUAAAAAACUAAAGCUGGCUCACGCAUUUACAAUCAAAAGAGGUGGAUGCAAACUCCUGCUUUCUCCCGGCCUCCAAAAGUCAGGAUGGCUCUGAUACCAUAUAGACGGAGAGGCAGAGGGGUAUGAAAUACUGCCGAAGAGAGCAGCCAGGCGGCCAGGAAAUAGACCCCAAACUUGCCAACAUUAAAGGCAGUUUCACGACCAUGUAGGCAACACGCCAUACAAAAUCCAAGAUUUUGUCAAACACCACAGACACAAAGACUAACUUUUCAAUAGGUCUCAACACCAUGUAGGCAGUAUACCUUAAUAAGUCAAAUCUUUCGUCAACGCUACAAAAAUAGAGACUAACCUUUCCAACAUGACCGGUGAUUCACGUCUAUAUAAUCGAUAUGUCAUAUGAAAUAAAAGCUUUUAAUCGACAAGACACAACUUUCCUACUAUUGAGAUACGCAUCCGUAUAGAUGGUUUGAUUUUUAGCUACAAAGCCAUCACAACCCUUAACGGGAUAGCUUGAAUUUGGAACUGCAAGCUACACAUCAAUGAUGGUUUUCCUCGGCAACAAAGCCUACACAACCCAAAAGAGGGAUGGCUUGACUUUGCCAGUCUUAGAACACAUGAGAUCCCUUGUCUCCUUAGUACAUAAUUGUUCUUUAUUUGCCUAAAAUGGGUCUUAUGGUGCUCUCUGGCCUGUUGCCGUAAAAAUAGCUGUAGAACAAAAGGUGUACUAAAGUAGACCCAAAUCUGCUUGUUUUUUCUCUGAUAUUAAAUCUUUUCUGAAAUCUAUGGCAUGGACUAAGCGAAUUUCAUUUCUUAUACAUGGAAAGGACUUAGAAAUCUACAUCGUAUGGACAAAGCCAACUUCGUUAUACAUGGAAAGUAGUUAGACAUCUACGUCAUAUGGACAAAGCCAACUUUAUUUCAUAAACAUGGAAAGUAACUUUAGGGUGCCAUUGUUGCCAUCACAAAAAGCUAGCACUUCAUCGUAGUAUUUCCUUACCUCCUACUCUUACCUAAAGGAUCAACAUACCCAUCCCUUUGGAAGAGUGAGGACAAAGCCAACUUUAUUUCAUAAACAUGGAAAGUAACUUUAGGGUGCCAUUGUUGCCGUCACAAAAAGCUAGCACUUCAUCGUAGUAUUUCCUUACCUUCUACUCUUACCUAAAGGAUCAACAUACCCAUCCCUUUGGAAGAGUGAAAGAAAAAGCAAGAGAGUUUAUCCAACAAACAUUUUCAUUGAUAAUAGGGACAAGCUAUACAAGAGGUUUUUAGGUAGAACAAAUGAUGCCUCUAACAUAAUGGCCUAGGAUUUUUUUUUCUUGAGGAAGAAAACUUACUAGCUAUGCUAAGCUACGGAUAAUCAUAAAAUAAAAUAAUACAUUCCUAUCCUAAUAGCUAAGGGAUAGGUAUUAUCCAUUAAUAAGCACAAGUCUUAUCCUUUUGGAAGGGAUAAUUAUUAUCUGUUAUGAUUAGAUAAGCCUUAUCUUUAUUCACACUGGACCCUACUAACAUGUUGGGGGCCAACUAAGAAAAACAAACUAUGUUGUUGGCAUGUGACCGCAUGUGCAAGCAGGUGAGUCAGCAGCUUGCAAGCAGAUACAUCAAUAGCUUCACAGGUAUCUUGCAAGCAGGUGUAUAAGCUUUUAGUGCUCAAAUUAGAUGAGUGAGUAGAUUCUAAAACCUAUUUAAAAGGGUAACCCACUGAGGAAGGUUUCGUUGGAGAGAAGGGCAACCAACUAAAAAAGGUAACCUACUAGGGAGGGUAACCUAUCUGAUAGGGUUUUCUUGGAGAGGAGGGUAGCCCACUGGGGAGAUUAACUCACUAGAGAUGGUAACCCACUGGAAAGGUUAACCCACUGGAGUAGGAAACUUCUUGAACAUGUCAUCUGACGUCAUCUUUCAGGCAGUGUUGGAUGGUACUGGCAGCGAUGGGUUCGGGUAUCAUUCUUCCAUCCAAUAAUCAAUUCCAUGCUUCUGCCUAAGGCAAUCUUAUUCAAGAUUCUCUUCAUCAAUCUUGUGAAGUAACUUCUUCUGAAUGAUGAAUCUUUCCAUUCCUAAUAGGGAGCAUUCAACCGUAUGCUUUUAAUGAAACUGGUGACUUUAUCUCUUGUGAUAUUAUACUAUGGCUGAUAUUGUUUUGCUGCUCAAUGGAUCUCAUCCCAGUGGGGAUGAUCAUCUUCUACAUAGUUCCAUUUUCCCCUUUCCUUUGGCCAGAUUUCCUUUGGAAUGUAUCUAUUCUACUAAAAAAUAAAGUGCUGGGCUUCAUUGUAUUUUUCUUCCAGAGAGAGUAUGGACAUGGGAAAUUUGUAAAGGAUUGAAAUUUCUAGCUGAGCUUGGACAUCGUUGCCUGAGAUUCAUAAAGGGCGAUACAACAUGAAGACCAUUGCAUCAUAGGAAUCCAUGAAGCAUCAAAUCAAGUAUUCUUGCAUCAUGAACUACACCAUAAAUCUCUUUAGAGUAGGUUCGAUUCGAUUGAAAUGCCCAAAGGCAUCACACUUGAACUCCAUGAGAUUAUAGUGCGGGUGCCACAGAUACUAGAAUAGCCAAAGGAGUUCUUUUGAGAAUUCAUUGGCCAGCACGAUAAACACAUGACAUAAGGGAUAUUUUGGGUGUACUCUUAAUGGCUUCAGGAUGGAUCUACUAUACUUUCUGAACACUUGAAGCUUGUAGAAUAAUCUUUCUUGGAGGAUGGAUGGAUCGAUGGGAUUCAUAUACUUGUUGAACAGAUCUGGAGGGUAAUCUGCUAGCCCAAAAGAUAGUAUCCUUAUCGUAUUGAGCAUGAGGAUUUGACUGGCCUGAUGUUUGUAAUCUUCUUCAUUGCUAGAUAUCAAGUACAAAUCAUCGGCAUAGAUAUUGCCUGGUACGUCAUAUACAUGUAUAGAGAAGAUAGUGUCUUUCAUCAGUUUUUCUUCCACCAAGAAGACCGAUUUAAGAUCAUCCUUCAUGCUAAGGAAGAUUCCCACAUGAUCUGGUAUCUCUUCAAAGAGGUGGAUGAAGUCCUUUGACUUCUUAGAAUGAGGAUAGUUUUUGGCAAAGUGGCCAGGCUUUCUGUAGAUAAAGCAGCCAUCACCAUUAUUCUUAUAGCUAGCUGGACUCCUCCGUCUAAUGUACCUGGUUCAUUAGGUAACCCUGUGUCUAUCGCCGAGAGGCCUUGGUUAUUUGAAGCACCAGAACAACAGUCACCUUUUUUUUGUCUUGUGGUGAAUGCAGAGGCAUCCAAACUUGGUGACAAGGUCGCCUUUACAGCAUGCUUGAUAGAGUGCUGGAUUAUUAUUGAUGAUUUACUUCAGCAUGGUCCUAUUUAUGAAUAUUCUAUCCGAAGCCUGGAAGAUGGCCUGCCAGAUGUAGCCUAUUAUGGGAUGCUUAUGGACUUGAACUUCUCUUCUAAAAUCAUCGUUGUAUGGUUUGCUACUAUCAUCGACAAUGAUGAUACGAAGUCUUGCUUGAGGCUGGGAUCCCCACCCAACUCAAAGUAGAUCUUUACCAUUCUUUAUAAGUGGCUAUGAUGGCAUUUCUAUCGACCGAUAGAGACUUUAUCUUGAAGAGCUAUCUCCAGAACUACUCGUACCUCUGGUAUACGUCUCCACAGAAUAACUCAUGAAGGAUCUUGAUAUUGAAGGAAAAGUCCUGGUAUGUCAGAUAUGUGUUCUUGUUGGAAAUCCUGAGAGCGUUCCACUAGUCUAUGAGUAUGUUGAAUAACCUGGAUGUGAACUCUAAGAGUAUUAUGUAUUUCUCCUACUCAGCCAAAUUUUUCUAUGCCAUCCAUGUGUAGAUGUCCUGGAUUAGCUAGGGUCAGGCUGAAAUCUUGAUAUCGUUGAGGGUGAAGGCAUAAAAUCUGGUCCCCACAGUCUAUAUUACCGAUGUUCCUGGAUCUAGCCUUCUUUCUAGGAUUGGAUCGUCCGUCAUCCCAUCUUUGGUUGUCAACAUCGUUAGAGACCUUUGGUUCCUUGGACUGGUUCAUUUAUAUUGGUAGAUUCAAUAUUAGUUAUAUUAGGUUUAUUAGUACGUGCUGGAUCAUCAUCAGUAGCAUGAGAAUCUUUCAUAUGUGUUGGCGCAUCAACAAAUGAAACCUUUUCUUUUUCUGUCUUCAGCAGAUGUUCCAUCACAAAUUUUAGAACAUGCAUCCACGGUGUUAGUGGUGGAUAAGUGUUUUUCCUCUCCCUCGGUUUCAAAGCCAAAGAUAUUGUUGAUGGCUUUUAAAAAUUCUUCUUCUGCGCUAUUCUUUAGAACUUGUUGAGUAGUGGCAUUCCCAGAAUCUACAAUAUUGGAACGGGAGAUAACUUGACUUGGGAUGAUGGAGUUGUCCUUCGUAAGAACAUUGUUAUCGAGAAAACAUUUUAUAGUGGAUGUCUAUACUUUAUCUGGUCGCUCUUUGAAUAGUAAUUUUGCAAUUUGGACCUCUGAGUCAUUGUCCGAGAUAAUGAGAUCCUGUGUAGAAGCAAUAUGUCUUGUGAUUGACUUAUUAUCAUGAUGUGGAGCCUGUCUGGUAUACUUUAUUCUUUUGACCUUAUUUUGUGCCAUCUUUGCUUUCUUUUGAGAUGCCUUGGCAUCCUUCUUUUCCCAUACGAACUUGGCAAUGUCAAACUCCUCCCGUUCAUCUGUUAGGUCUAGUGUAAACAACGUUGUAUUAGGCGGAGAGGUGGAAAAAGGUUGACUAUGUACUCGUGAAAAAUAUUCUUUGGGAUAUACGAUGGAUUUUUGGGCAUGACUGUAUUUAAGAAGAUGGAUUUGUUCUUCCAACAAGUCUUUUUCUUUCUUUUAUUGGUCAAGAAAAUAUAGUAUUAAGUACCCAAGCGGGCAUCUUUCAGACUAUUUAGCCUGCACUCCUGUAUUCUGAUAAGCAUGGCAUUUUGAGUUGGUGCAUUUGACUCCUUUUAUGUGACUGAUGGAAUAGAAUGUGGUGAUUUUGGAGCAUAGAUAUGGUGAUGCCCUUUGGGUAGGUAGUUUGCCAGGAAGUCAGGGUUGUAGUUAGAGUUGGUUUCAGAUAUCAUGAACAUCGGGGAAUCAGGAUUAGAAUCUGAUUUGGAGUUGGAGAAUCUAAUUUGAGAUAGAGUGGGUAGUGGGGUUCAUUCUUGUGCUUUAUAAGAGACUUCAAAUGGAUGGUUGUUGUCCAUUUCAUUUGAAGGCCUCUGAUAUUGGGUUUUUUGUAAUCCCCAAUAAUCAUCCUAUUCCAAUUCAUCUUCUUUCUCACCAGAAUCUUUCAACUAAACCUCUUGGCAUCGCUGACAAUCACAGUCGAUAUCCCAUAGGCAAUGUUCUGUGAACGAGUCUUUGAACUAGUGAAAUGUAUACCCAUCAUGACCUAAGUGUACUAUCCAAUCUUGCAAAUUCAUGGCACUAGUGAGAUAACCUUAUUCACUGGAUCUAAAUUCUCUGUAUUCAGAAAAGUAUUAACAGAGGUAUGUAUAUGAACAAAGAGAGAUGUUCUGUAAGGUUUUUCAGCAAAUAUGGGUUUCGGUGACCUGAGAUCUUGAGGAUUAAAUCUCAUAAUCUUAUAACUUUUGAGCGAGUAUUUUGGAAGAAUCAUGAGGAUUUCUUCCUUUGGGACAUGUUUUGAGACUUGGAUACACUAGUUCGUACCUUCGGUGGCAUCUAUGGUUAAGAACAUUGAGUGGUGGCCACCAGGAAGGGAUAGGUUUCUUUCGUGGUUCUAGACUUGCCAAACUAUCUGGUGGUGUAACGUCAUUUAUGUAGGGCUAUAGUCUAGUUGAGCUCCAUGGAUUUGGAUUUAGUGCCUUUAUAAUGUAUGGAUCUGACAGGAACAUGGUAAAGUUAGGGAACAUAGUAGCGACAACUAUCCCUGAGUCCAAUGUGAUGUCCCAAGUGCCUAAAUCAGCAAGUUAGUACUCUUCGAAUCUAGUAUCAAGAACGGAAAGACGUGAUUUUAGCGGUUGUCCUUUUCUCCCUCAAUGAGUCAAGGCAGUUCGAAUUGUACCAAAAUGGCUAUGGGUAAAGAAAUACCUUUUCCACUACUAUGGAAAAUUCUUCAUUUUCUGCAGAGUGAUGGCCUGUUCAGCUGGAGUCGUAAGGACGUACUGAUCAAGUUUUGUUUUAGCAAAGUAUUCCUUAACUCUUUCUCGUGUCCGUUGAUAUAGGGAAUCAAUUUGCAGCUCUGGAUUACACGAUUUUUUGGCAAAGGCAGAGUAUGGAUUUUGUAUGGUUAGAUAUGUAGAAGAUAGAUCUUGUUCUUCUGUCAACACAUCUGCUUCAUAAGGUUGACUCUCUUACAAGACAAAGUUUUGUUUAUAGUUUGAGACAAGUGUAAUGUUUCCAAGGAUCUACAUAAACUAGUCACAAAAGACAUAGAUGGUGAAGACUCUAAGAUUGACAUACUUUGUAUUUUCGGGACUAUAAUGACUCGAUAUAUUUAUUCUAAAUAUCUAAGGAAAAGAAUCAAUAAAAUGAAUUUUUUGUGUAUUUUUAUGGACUGACUCUAUAUAUUUGGGCUAAGGAUCUAAGGACACAACGGAUAUUUGUUCUUAAAUCUAAGAAAGUAACUACGAUUCGAUUAUGUACAAGACACCGACUACAACACUGGAAAACACUGACUCUAACAAUUGAAAUGAAACUAUGACUCUAAUAUGUACAAGAAAUGAGUAGUAAAACUUGGAAGCUAUAACUAAGACGGAUCUAAGAGUAGUAGGUCGGACAAGUGAACAGUAAAAGCAAAAGAAAAUAAAAAUGUAAAGCUGGCUCAUGCGUUUGCAAUAAGCAAAGGUGGAUGGAAACUCCUACUUCCUCCCAACCUCUGGGAGUGGGGAUGGCUCUGAUACGAAAUGUACAGGGAGGAAGAGGGGCACAGAAGACUGCCGGAGAGAGGAGCUUGGCUGCCAGGUAGCAGACCCCAAACUUUCCAACAUGAAAAGUGGUUUCACGACCAUGUAGGCGGCACACCUUAUGAAAUUAAAGCAUUUUUCAAACACCACAGACACAGAUACUAACUUUCCAACAGGUUUCAGCACCAUGCAGGCGGUAUACCUUAACAAGUCAAAGCUUUCAUCAAUACCACAGACACAGAGACUAACCUUUCAAAUGUGACGAGCGAUUCACAUCCAUAUAGGCGGCAUGCCAUAUGAAAUGAAAGCUUUUAAUCAACAUGCCACAAAUUUCCUACUACAGAACUACGCAUCGACAUAGAUCGUUUUAUUUUUAGCUACAAAUCCUUCACAAUCCUUAACAAGGUGGCUUUACUUUGGAACUGCAAGCUACACAUCAAAGAUGGUUUUCUUCGAAAACAUAGCCUUCGCAACCCAAAAGAGGGACGACUUGACUUUGCCAAUCUUAGAACACUUGAGAUCCAUUGUCUCCUUAGUACACAAAUAUUCCGUAUUUUCCUAAAAUGAGUCUUACGAUAGCACUCCCUGUCCCUGUUGCCCUCAAAAUAACGGAGAACAAAUGGUGUACUAACGCAGACCCCAGAUUAAUGUGUUCUUUCUUAGAUAUUGAAUAUUUUUGAAAAGCUAUGGCAUGGAAUAAGAUAAUUUCAUUUCAUAUACAUCAUUUCGUUCUCCUGAACAAUGAAGUCUUAGGCUUCAUAGUAUUCAUCUUCUAGAGAUAGUACAGGAAAUUUCCAGAGGAGUGAAGUUUUCACUGAGCUUGGACGUUGUGGCCUAAGAUUUGUACAGGGCGAUGCAGCAUAAAGACCAGUGAACCAUAGGAAUCCUUGAAGCAUCAAAUCUAGUACUAUUGUGUCUUAAACCACAACAUGAAUCUCAUCAGAGCAGGUUGGAUUCGAUCAAAUUGCCUGAGAGAAACAUCGGUACAGAUACAAGAAUAGCCAUAGGUGUUCUUGAUGGAAGUCAUUGGCUAGCACGAUGAACACAUGGUAAAAGGGAUACUAUGGGUGUACUCCAAACGGCAUCAGUGAUGGAUCCCCCAUACUUUUGAACUCUUGAAGCUCAUAAAAGGUUCUUCUUUCUUGGAGGAUAGAUAGACUAAAGGGAUCCAGAUACUGGUUGAAUAGAUUUGGAGGGUAAUAUGCUAACCUGGAAGAUAGCAUGCAGUUGAAUAGAUCUAGAGGAUAAUCUGCUAAUCCAUAAGAUAGUAUACCUGCAGUGUUGAGCAUGAGGAUUUAACUAGCCUGAUGCUGGUAGUCUUCUCAGUUACUGGUUAUUAGGUAAAGAUCAUCGGAUGUCGCCUGAUUAUUCAUAUACAUCUAUGGAGAUGAGGGUGUCCUACAUUGGUUCUUCUUCCAGCAAGAAGACCAAUUCGAGGUUGUCCUUCGUGUCGAGAUUGAUUCUUGCAUGAUCCACAAUCUCUUUAAAGAGGUGGAUAGAGUUCUUCGACUUCUUGGCUUGAUGAAAUUAUCUGGCAAAGUGGCCAGGCUUUCUACAAAUGAAACAUCCAUUAUCUUUCUUCUUGUAGCUAGCUAGGCUCUUUUAUCUGAAGUACCUGGUUCGCUGGGUAACCCUUUUUCUAUUGUCAGGAGGCCUUGGCAGUUUGAACCUCCUGAAUAACAAUUUCCUUUCCGUACUCAUCUUACAGUGAGGGUAGGGGAAGUCGGACUUGGUAACGAGGUUAUCUUUACAGCAAGCUCAAUUGAUGGCUAGAUUGUUUUUGAUGACUUUCUUUAGCAUGGUCCUCUUUAUGCAUAUGAUGUCCAAGGACUGGAAGAUAUCCUUCCAGAUGUAGCCUAUUUGUGGGACAGUUAUGGACUUGAACUUCUCCUUGACAAUCAUCAUCGUUUGGUUUGCUAGCAUCAUCAGUACUAAUAAUAUGAAGGCUUGCUUCAGGAUAAGAUCCCCCUAACUCAAAGUAGAUCUUCGCCAUUCUCUGAAAGUGGAUAUUGAUGGAAUUUCUAUCAAAUGAUAGACACUUCAUCUUGAAGAGCUGUGUAAGACCACACAAAAUCCUCUCAUAGUUUAAGCCUUAGAGAGUGUUCAGUAAAGUGUUAAUCCAACCCUAAAAGUUUGAGAAAUGUCUUCCUAAGUGAGAAGUAUUUUUAACUGUGUCAUGUAGAGCAUUGAAUAAGCUUUUUGUCAUUACCAAAUUCGCCCAAAUUUGAUACUCGGAUAAAGAGUUAGAGCUAUUUUACUGAGACAGUGUGCCAUCUGGCACUUUAGCACAUCAAGAAAUACAACAAAAAUGGAAAUCAUCAAAAUCCAGUGAGCCUUCGAGAUUAUGUCGCAUCACGCCAAGGCUUAAUUUUAGAAUUAUCAAUAUCCAGUGCACCAACGAAAUUCCACCGCAUUGAGGUGCCUUUCCAGUUUGCAACCAAGGUGGCAACGCGAUUUCCACCGUGUCGCGCCAUCAAGUAGUUUCCCGAAUUUCCAAUUUCCAGUGAGCUGGCACAAUUAUGGCGCAUCGCGCCAGCAUCUAAAAUCAGAAUUUUUCAAUUUAAUUCAAAGGGCGAAAAUGGUCAUUUUACUACCCCUAUAUAUAAACUCCUUAACACAGGAUUUGGCCUCUUUUAACCUAAAAAUACUAGUUUUCUCUCAAAGUUGUUCAAAAAAAAAAAAGCUAGGGUGUUCUAAAAAAUUAAAACCCUUCCUUAUUCUUCAAGAUCAAUCAAGAAAUCAAGAAUCUCUCCAAGAGCUUUCAAGAACAAGUUUCUCUAAGGCAUGUAGAUGUUGAUUCUUCGGUUCCUUUCAUCCAAGAAGCUCAAGAACCCUUUUCUAAAUUUCAAAGAUCUUAUGUUUAUGAUUUUUCAUAAUUCAUGUGAAUUGAAAUUGAUGUUCAUGCUAUUAUUGAGUUUUGAUUUAUGUUUGUUUACAAGGUUUUCAAGCUUUGGCCCUAGUAUAUGAUAUUCAGGUGAUGUUCAUGAUAAAUCCUCUUCAAGUUGCUUGUUAAGUGAUGUGUCUAUGUCAAUUAAGUGAAGAAAUUGUUGAAUAAGCAAAGCAUGCUCCCCAUAUCUUUGAUAAAAUGAUUAUGUGAAGGAAUUAGAGCCAUUAUAGCAUGUUAACCCCAUGCAUGCCAAGUGUUUGUUGAAAAGCCUUAGUGAAUGAAUUGUGGCAUGAUUGCAUGAAAUUCCCUAUAAUGUUCUCUUCGAUACAUGUUAUGACUUUAAUACAUGCUAUUUGUUUGAUGCAAGAUCUUGUUGAAUGCAGUAUGAGCCAAUAGAAUGUCUCCCUAUACAAUCACAUGUUUAUGAUUUCUAAAUACUUGAGGAGAUGAUUCAAUGAUUAUGAUGAUAAAGGAAUGUCCAUAGUCUUGACUAUUCAAGAAUGGUUAUGUUUUACUUUUGUGUUAUCGAGUCCUGGGGGUAUUUACACCCGACAAUUUAGCUGUUGUCUAAAGCCCGUGUCAGUUUUCAUGAUAAUUCCAGCUGAGCCAUGCUUCUCUUAACUCAACGAGUUAUAGAACCCUAUAUUUCCAUACAGAUACAUAACUUAAAAAAUCUCUAUAAUCUCUGUAAUCACCAUAAUCUCAGUAUCGCUAGUAAUCUAGCCUCAGUUCCGUACCCAGCUCAAUUAUAGUAGUAUUCAAGUGUUCAGUUUUGACCUCUGUAGUAAUUGAGUACUCUAUUCAAAGCUUAGUGUCGUUCAGUUCCGUCAGAUAUGAAACAAAGUGAAUUUAACUUAGUUUGUGUUCAGUUAAGAAUCAGUUCAGAGUCUUUCAGUGGGGAUUAGGAGCUAGCACCGAGCGAGGGCAUGGAUGGCGUCUCCUCAUCAGAGAGGCAGAUUCGUUAGGAGCAAUCCCUUAACUCAAAAACUGCGUAGCGAGCACAGGAUGCAGGAGUCACCCAUCAGGAAAGGCUGUUCAACCGUUAGAUAGGCUUGACUAUUAUAUUACCUUAGGCUUUACUUCCUGCGAGGGUCACCCAUUAGAUAGGCUUUAAUAGAGAGGUCUUUACCCGUGGUAUGGUAUUGACACCCUUCUAGCUGGGGUUACAGGUUAGACCCUACCAGUUGGAUUUAGGGCAUGUUGGUUAAGUGACUACAUCCCACAGUUGCAUUUUUAGUAUCAAUCUUUAGAAAUUAGGAAUGUCAGAUAUAGUCAUCUAUCUCAGUGAGGAACUUAGAUAGUUUCAUUUAUUCAUGGACCACCCAUCGGAUAGGCUUGGUCCUAUAUAAAGUUAUUUAGUAUCAGAUCUAGAGAUCCCCCAUCAGAUAGGCUUGAUCUCAGUCUCAUAUUCUAUUGAGUAAACUCAUUACCAAAUCUUGAGAUCACCCAUUAGAUAGGCUUGAUCUCAGUGUCAAAGUCUGUUGAGUAUUCUCGUUAUCAGAUCGAGAGAUCACCCAUCAAAUAGGCUUGAUCUCAUCUCAGAUUUAGUUGAGUAUUCUUGUAUAAGCUCUAGAGAUCACCCAUCAGACAGGCUUGAUCUCAGUCUCAUAUUCAGUUGAGUAUUUUUGUUAUCAGAUCUAGAGAUCACCCGUCAGAUAGGCUUGAUCUCAGUCUCAGAUUCAGUUGAGUAUUCUUGAAUCAACUCUAGAUAUCACCCAUCACAUAGGCUUGAUCUCAGUCUCAGAUUCAGCUGAGUAUUCUUGUUGUGAGAUAUGGACAUGAUUAUUUUUUAUCAUUGAUAUUAUAUUAUGGAAACAUCCGCUAGAGAGGUUUGAUAUCUAAUGAAGUCAGUCGAGAGUGGCAAAACUCAAAAUUCAGUCAAUGAUGUAAGUAUAUUUAGUAAAUCAGCUUUAGUAUCCUCAGAUUUUGAGAUCACUCUCUAGAUAAGAUUGAUCUCAACUCUAGUGCUUAGUUAUCAGUUUCAGAUGAUUGAGUUAUUCAAUAUCUUAGGCAUUAGUAGUAAGUUUGGAUGACAAUAAAGUAGUAUUCGAGUUUCAGUAUUUUGAGUCACAAUUAUUUCGGUUAUGGUUUGUGCAUUUAUGUAUGUGUUGUCAUUCAGUACUCUCAUGAUUAUUCAGUUAAGUAUUUGUUCAUGAAUAAGCCCUUGUAUUUAGCCUUACCUCAUCUUCAUACUCGGUACAUUCUCGUACUGAUGCAAUUUUUCUAUGGUAUUUUAUUUGACACCAUAGGUUAAGAGGCACGAGAUCCAGAGUACCCUUAGCAGCUCAGUACCAGUCAGCAGCAGUAGACAUAGCAGUAAGUCCUCUUCAGUCGAGGAUGAUCCUUAUUUUUAUUAUUAUCGUAUCAGACUUAGUUUAUUUUCAGUAGACGGAGUUAGUUGGGGACAUGUCCCAUUAACUCCAUAGUUUAAAUAGUUUAAAGGCUUUUCAGAUAGAUGUAUUAAUAUUCAGUUUUCAAUUUUGGGUAUUUUUAGAUGUUUUGAACCUUAUGGCCAGUUUCCAUAUUUAUUAUCUAUAUAUUAUGUAGUAUCUAGGUACAUAUAUAAGUAGAGGGUUAGCUUGUGGUGCUUCUGGUUCCAGAAAAAUUAGGUCGUUACAAGCUGUCAUUGGAGCUUCUGGUGCCUCUGUCCUGCAUCUCAACAGAAUACCUUAUGCAGGAUCCUGAUGUUGAAGGCAAAGUCAUUGGAUGUUAGAUAUGUGUUCUUUUCUGAAAUCCCUAGAGUGUUCCACCAGUCUCUAAGUAUGCCGGAGAAUCUGAAUGUAAACUCUGAGAGUAUCAUGUAUUUCUCCCGCUCAGACAGAUUCUUCAUCACCAUCCAAAUGUAGAAGUCCUAGAUCCACUGGGGCCAGGCUAAAAUCUUAAUGUCAUUGGGGGUGAAGGUGUGAAAUCCUGUUCCCACAGUCUUUAUUGCUGAUGUACCAGGAUCUAGCCUUCUUUCUGGGAUUGGAUCAUCCCUCAUCCCAUCUUGGUUGUCGACGAUGUCAGAGAGCUCUGCUUCCUUGGACUGGUUCAUAUAUAUUGGUGGAUUAUCUACUUCUACUAUAGAUUCCACAUCGGUUGUAUUAGGUUUAUCAGUAUGUGUUGGAUCAUCAUUAGUAGCAUGAGAAUCUUUCAUCUGUAUUAGAGUAUUAACAGAUGAAACCUUCUAUUCUUCUGUGUCUUCAAUGGAUGUUCCAUAACCGAUUUCAAAACAUACGUCCACAAUAUUAAUGGUGUAUGAGUGUUCUUGCUCUCCCUCAAUUUCAAAGCUAAAGAUAUCAUUGAUGGCUUUCAAAUAUUCCUUUUCUAGGCUAUUCUUUUGAACUUGUUAAGUAAGGGCAUUCCCAGAAUCUACAGUAUCGGAUUGAGCGACAAAUUCACAUGGGAUGAUGGAGUUGUCCUUCGUAAGACCGUGGUUAUCAAGAAAACAUUUUAUGGUGGAUGUCCACACUUUAUCUGGUCGCUCUUAGAAUUGUGAUUCUAUAAUUUGGACCUUUAAGUCAUUGUUCGGGAUAAUGAUCUCAUGUGUUGGAGCAGCAUGUCUAUUGAUUGACUUAUUAGCAUGAUGUGGAGGCUUUCUAGAAUACUUCAUUCUUUUGACCUCAUUUUGUGACAUAAUGGCUUCCUUUUCAGUUUCCAUGGCAUCCUUCCUUUCCCAUAUGAACUUGGAAAUGUCAAACUCCUCCCGUUUAUCCAUUAGGGCUGGAGUGAACAGUGUUGAAUUAGGCGGAGGUGUGGAAAAAGGUUGACUUAAUCCUCGUGAAGAAUAUGCUUUGGGAAAUAUGAUGCUUUUUGGGCAUGAUCGUAUUUCACAAUAUGGAUUUGUUCUUCUAACAAAGCUCUUUCUUUCUUUUGUUGGUCAAGAAAAUGUAGUAUUGAGGACCUUAGUAGGCAUCCUUCCAAUUGUAUAGCCUGUCAACUGCUCUCCAGUAUUUUGAUAAGUAUGGCAUAUUGAGGUUGUGCAUCUGUCUCCUCUUAUGUGACAGAUGGAAUCAAAUGUGGUGAUUUUAGGGCGUGGCUUUGGUAAUUCCCUCUGGGUAGGUAGUUUGGCAGUAAUGCAGAGUUAGAAUUGGAGCUAGUUUUAGAUAUCAUGAACAUCGGGGAUUCAGGAUUAGAAUCUGAUUUAGAGUUGGAGGAUCUACUUUGAGAUGGAGUGGGAAGUUGGAGUAAUGCAUGUGGUUUGUAGGAGACUACUGUGAAAAAUUCUUCGUCAUCUGUAGAGUGAUGAAAUGUUCAGCUGGAGUCAUAAGGACGUGCUGAUCAAGUUUUGUUCCAUCAAAGUAUUCCUUAACUCCUUUUUUGUUUCUGCUGAUAUAGGGAAUCAAUCUGCAUCUCUGGAUUACACAUCUUUCUGGCAAAGGCAGAAUAUGAAUUUUGUAUGGGUAGAUAUUUAGAAGACAGAUCUUGCCCUUUUGUCAACACAUCUACUUCGUAAAACUAGUCUAUCUUACAUGACAUACUUUUAUUGAUAGUCGGAGACAAGAGUAAUGUUUCCAAUGAUCUACAUAAACUAGUCACAGAAGAUGUAGACAGUGAAGAUUAUAAGACUGUCAUAUUUUCUAUUUAUGGGACUGUAAUGACUCGAUAUAUUUUUUAUAAAUAUCUAUGAAAAAGACUCAAUAAAAUGAAAAUCUUUUUGUAUUUUUGUGGACUAACUUGAUAUAUUUGUGCUAAGUAACUAUGAAUCGAUUAUGUACAAGAAGUAGACUAAUAUACUGGAAAACACUGACUCUAAAAAUUGAAAUAAAACUAUGACUAUAAUAUGUAUAGGAAAUGAGUAGUAAGACUUGGAAGAUAAAACUAAGGACGGAUCUAAGAGUAGUAGAGUGGAUAAGACAAGAGUAAAAGCAAAAGAAAAUAAAAAUGUAAAGCUGGAUCAAGUGUUUGCAAUCCACUGAGAUGGAUACAAACUCAUGCUUCCUACCGACCUCCAGAAGUGGGGAUGGCUUUGAUUCAAAAUAAAUAGAGAGGUAGAGGGGCAUGCAAGACUACUGGAGAGAUCAGCCAGGCGGCCAUGGAAUAGACCCCGAAUAUUCCAACAUGAAAGGUGGUUUCACAGCCAUGUAGGCGACAUGUCAUAUGAAAUCAAAGCUUUCGUCAAACACCACAAACACAGAGACUAACUUUCCAACAAGUUUAAACACCAUGGAGACGGUAUACCAUAUAAAUCAAAGCUUUCGUCAACACCACAGACACUGAGACUAACCUUUACAACAUGACAAGAGAUUCAUGUCCAUAUAGGCAGCUUUCCAUACUAAAUCAAAGCUUUUAAUCGACAUGCCACAUCUUUUCUAUGACUGAGCUACACAUCCGUAUAGAAUAUUUGAUUUUUAGAUACAAAGCCUUCACAACCCUUAAUGAGACGGCUUGAAUUUUGAACUGCAAGCAACACAUCAAAGAUUGUUUGCCUAGGAAUGGCUUGACUUUGCUAGUCCUUGAAUAAGUGAGAUCCCUUGUCUCCUUAGUAAACAAAUGUUCUGUAUUCUCCUAAAAUAGGUCUUACAGAGGAUCUCCCUGGCCUGUUUCCCUCAAAACGGCCGCAGAAGAAAAGGUGUACUAAGGAAGAAAUGAGAUCUGCAUGUUCUUUCUCAGAUAUUAAAUCUUUUCGGAAAGCUAUGGCUUGAACUAAUCCAAUUUUGUUUCAUAUACACGGAAAGGACUAAGACAUUUAAGUCAUGUGGGCAAAGCGAACUUCAUUAUAAAUGCAAAAUACUUUUACAUAUACGUCGUUUAGACAAAGCCAACUUCAUUUCAUAUACAUGGAAAGUAACUUUGGGGUGCCAUCAUUUCCAUCUCAACAAGCUAUCCCUUCACCGUAGUAUUUCCUUACUCCCCUACUCCGACCUAAAGGAUUGAAGUACCCAUACCUUCGGAAGAAAGAAAGAAAGAUCAAUAGAGUUUAGCCAACAAAUAUUUUCAUUGAUAAUAUAGAGAAACUAUAUAAGAGGUUUUUAGGUAGAGCAAAUGAUAGGUAGAGAAAAUGAUCUAGGUAGAGCAAAUGAUCUAGGUAGAGAAAAUGAUGCCUCUAACCUAAAGGCCUAAGCUUUCAUUUAUUGAUGAUGGAAUCUUACUAGCUAAGCUAAGCUACGGUUAAACAAGAACUAAAAUAUUACAUUCCUAUGAAAAAUGCUAAGGGAUAGGCAUAAUCCAUUAAUAAGGAUAAGUCUUAUCCUUUAGGAAAGGAUAAGCAUUAUCUAUUAUGGCUAUAUAAGCCUUAUCUUAUUUAUACCAGGACCUACUAACAUGUGGGGGGACAAAUAAAAAAACUAUGUUGUUGGAAUGUGACAACAUGUGCAAGCAGGUGCAUCAGUAGAUUGCAAGCAGGUGCAUCAAUAGCUUCACAGGAAUCUUGCAUGGAGGUCGAUAAGCUCUUUGUCUUCAAUGUAGUUGUGUGAGCAUCUUAAAAAACCCAUCUUAAAGGGUAACCCAUUGUGGAGGGUUUCCUUAGAAAGGAGGUUAACCCACUGGAAAAGGUAACCUACUAGUGAUGGUAACCUAUUUGAUAGGCUUUCCUUGGAGAGGAGGGUAGACCACUAGAAAGGGUAAAACACUGGGAAAGGUAACCCACUGGAGAGGGUAAAUUUCUUGCACAUAUCAUCUGAUGUUAUAUUUGAGGAAAUGUUGGAUGGUUCCGGCGGUGGUGAGCUCGUGUAUCCUUCUUUCAUCCACUAAUCAAUUCCGUGAUUCUGCCUGAGUUCUUCUUGGCCUUCAAAGCUUCUCUUCAUCGAUAUAUUAACGUAACUUCUUCUGAAUGAUGAAUCUUCACAUUCCUGUUGGGGAGAUUUCAACUGCAUGCUUCUAAUGGAGCUAGUGACUAUAUCUCUAGUGAUCUAGUACUACGACUGAUAUUUCUUUGCCACUCAUCAAACCUCAUCCCAGUGGGGAUGAUCGUCGUCCACAUAGUGCCAUUUUUCCCAUUCCUUAGGCCAAAUUUUCAUCGAAAUGCAUUUGUUCUGUUGGAAAAUAAAGCGCUGGGCUUCAUAGUAUUCAUCUUCCAGAUAGAGUAUGGACACGAGAAAUUUCUAGAGGAGUGAAAUUUUGGGCUGAGCUUGGACGUCGUGGCCUGAGAUUCCUACAGGGAGAUACAUCAUAAAGACCAUUGAAUUGUAGCAAUCCUUGAAGCAUUAAAUCCAGUAUUCUCGUGGCUUGAACCACAACUUGAAUCUCUUUAGAGCAGGUUAGAUUAGAUUUAAAUUCCUGAAGGCAUCACACUUGAAAUCCAUGAGAAUAUAGUGCUGGUGGCACAAAUACCAGAAUAGCCACAGGAGUUCUUAUGGAAAGUUGUUCACCAGCACGAUAAACAAAUGGCAGAGGGGAUAUUCCGGGUGUACCCCGAACUUAUGGAAAGUUGUUCACCAGCACGAUAAACAAAUGGCAGAGGGGAUAUUCCGGGUGUACCCCGAACUUAUGGAAAGUUGUUCACCAGCACGAUAAACAAAUGGCAGAGGGGAUAUUCCGGGUGUACCCCGAACUUAUGGAAAGUUGUUCACCAGCACGAUAAACAAAUGGCAGAGGGGAUAUUCCGGGUGUACCCCGAACUUAUGGAAAGUUGUUCACCAGCACGAUAAACAAAUGGCAGAGGGGAUAUUCCGGGUGUACCCCGAACUUAUGGAAAGUUGUUCACCAGCACGAUAAACAAAUGGCAGAGGGGAUAUUCCGGGUGUACCCCGAACACCUUCAGGAUGGAUCUUCCCUACUUUUUGAACACUUAAAGCUCGUAGAAGGUUCUUUUUUCUCAGAGGAUUGAUGGAUCGAAGGGAUCCAUAUACUUGUUGAAUAUAUCUAUAGGGUAAUCUGCUAGCCCGGAAGAUAGUAUCCCUGCUGUGUUAAGCAUGAGGAUUUGACUGGCUCAUUGUUAGUAGUAUUCUCCAUUGUAGGAUAUUAGGUAAAGAUCAUCAGUGUAGAUGUCACGUAAUAUGUCAUAUACAUCUAUGGAGAAGAGUGUGCGCUCCAUCAGUUCUUCUUCAAGUGAGAAGACCGAUUUGAGGUCAUUCUUCAUUCUAAGAUAUAUUCCUAUCUGAUCAGCUAUCUUUUCAAAGAGUCAUAUGGAGUCCUUCGACUUUUAGGCUUGAGGACAGUUUUUGGCGAAGUGUCCAAGCUUUAUGUAGAUGAAGUUUCCAUCGUCUUUCUUAUGGUAUCUGUCUGGGCUCCUUCUUGUGAAAUACCUGGUUCAUCGGGUAACCCUGCUUAUGUCGUUAGGAGGCCUUUGAAGUUUGAACCUCUAUAAGAAGAGCAUCAAAAGGAAGCUGCUGUUUAGGAGGUUUAAACUGCCAAGGCCUCCCAACGACAGAUGCAGGGUUACCCGACAAACCAGGUACUUCAGAUGGAUGAGCCCAGUAGGCUACAAGAAUAAAAAUGAAGACUAAUUCAUCUGCAAAAAGCCUGGCAACUUUGCCAAAAACUAUCCUCAAGCUAAGAAGUAGAAGGACUCCAUCCACCUCUUUGCAGAGAUAACCAAUCAUGCGAGAAUCUAUCUCAGCAUAGAGAACAACCUCGAAUUGGUGUUAUCGCUGGAAGAAGAACCGACGGAGGACAUCCCCUUCUGCAUAGAUGUAUAUGAAGAAGUAGGCGAUAUCUACACUGAUGAUCUCUACCUGAUAUCUAGAAAUGGUUAAGACAACCAGCACCAGGCCAGUCAAAUCCUUAUUCUAAAGAUGACAAGGAUACUAUCUUUCAAGCUAGCAGAUUACCUCCAUAUUUGUUCAACCUAAAUGUGGAUCCCUCUGAUCCAUCCAUCCUUUAAGAAAAAAGGACCUUCUAUGAGCUUUAAGUGUUCAGAAAGUAUGGCAGAUCCAUCCUUAAGACAUUCAGAGUACACCCCAAAUAUCCCUUCUUCCAUGUGUUCAUCGCGCUGGCCAACGACUUCCUGAAAGAACUCCUAUGGCUAUUCUGGUAUUUGUGCCACUAGCACUACAUUCUCAUAGAGUUUAAGUAUAAUGCCUUCAGGCAUUUUGAUUGAAACCCACCUACUCUGAAGAGAUUCAAGAUGUGGUUCAAGCCGCGAGAAUACUAGAUUCGAUGCUUCAAGGAUUCCUACGAUGCAAAGGUCUUCAUGUUGUAUCACCCUAUAGGAAACUCAGGCCACGACGUCUGAGUUCAGCUGGAAAUUUCACUUCUAUAGAAAUUUUUCGUGUCUAUACUCUCUCUAGAAGAUGAAUACUAUGAAGGCCAGCACUUCAUUUUCCAAUAGAACAGAUGCAUUCCGAUGGAAAUAUAGACAAAGGAAUGGGGAAAAUAGAACUACAAAGAUAAUGGUCAUCCAUACUGGGAUGAGUUCUAAUGAGCAACAAAGAAAUAUUAGCCAUACUACGAGAUCACUAGAGAUGAAUUCAACGGCUCUAUCAAAAAUAUGUGGUUGAAAUCUCCCCAAUAGAAAUAUGAAGCUUUAUUAUUCAGAAGGAGUUACUUUACCAGAUCGAUGAAAAGAAGCAUGGAAGGAAAAGAAUGCCUCAGGCAAAAGCACAGAAUUAAUUGGUGGAUGGAAGAAAGAUACGCAAGCUCACCGCCUUCGGCACCAUCCAACACUGCCUGAAAGAUAAUGUUAGAUGACAUGUGCUAGAAAUUUACCCUUUUAAGUGGAUUACCCUUCCUAGUGGGUUACCCUUCCCAUUGGGUUACCUCCACUCCAACAAAAUCCAGUCAGAUGGGUUAGCCUUUCUAGUGGGUUACCCUACUCUCUAAGGAAACCUACCUUAGUAGGUUACCCUUUCAGAUGGGUUUUGAAAAUGGUCACCCAGCUACUUCGAAGACAAGGAGGUUAUCCACCUGCUUGCAAGAUGCUUGUGAAGCUUCUGAUGUACUUUCUUGAAAGCUGUUAACCCACCUACUUGCACAUGUUGUCACAUUCAAACAUUAUAGUUUGUUUUGAUUUUAUUUGGCCCCACACAUGUUAGUAGGGCCACGUGUGAGUAAAGAUAAAACUUAUUUAGUCAUAACAGAUAAUUCUUAUCCCUUCCAAAAGGAUAAGACUUAUCCUUAUUAACGGAUAAUGCCUAUCCCUUGCUUUUAGGAUAGGAAUAUAAUAUUUUAUUUCAUAUUUAUCCAAAGCUUAGCUUAGCUAGCAAGCUUCCUUCCUCUAUAAAAUAUAUCAUAGGCCAUUAGGUUAGAGGUAUUAUUUGCUCAACCUUGAUCAUUUGCUCUACCUAGAUUAUUUGCUCUACCUAGAUUAUUUUCUAUACCUAAAAACCUCUUUUAUAGUUUCUUUCUGCUAUCAAUGAUAAUAUUUGUUGGCUAAACUCUCUUUCUCUUACUUUUUCUCUUGAAAAAGGAUGGGUACUUUGAUCCUUUAGGUCGGCGUAGGGGAUAAGGAAAUACUACGGCGAAGUGCUAGAUUGUUGCAACGGCAACAAUGUCACCCCAUAGUUACUUUCCAUGUUAAUGAAAUAAAGUUGGCUUUGUCCACACGAAGUUGAUGUCUAUGUACUUUGCAUGUAUAACGAAUUUGGCUUUGUCAACAUGACAUAGAUGUCUAAGUCCUUUCCAUGUAUAUGAAACGAAAUUGUCUUAGUCUAUGCCAUAGUAUUCAGAAAAGAUUAAAUAUCUGAGAAAGAACUCGUAGACCUAGGGUCUGCCUUAGUAACCCUUCAUUUUGUGGAUAUUUUGAGUGCAACAGGAUAGGGAGAGCCACCGUAGGACCUGUUUUAGGAAAAUACAGAACAAUUAUGUACAAAGAACAUAAGUGAUCUCAUGUGUUCUAAGACUGCAAAAGUUAAUCCAUCCCUCUUUUGGGUUGUGAAGGCUUUAUUACCGAGGCAAACCAUCCUUCAUGUGUAGCUUCCAGAUCUAAAGUCAAGCCAUCCUUUUAAGGGUUGUGAAGGCAUUAUAGCUAAGAAGCAAACCAUCUAUCUAGAUGCAUAGCUCAGUCAUAGGAAAGUUGUGGCUUGUCGAUUUAAAGCUUUGAUUUCAUAUGGCAUUCCGCCUAUAUUGACAGGAAUCACCUGUCAUGUUGGAAAGAUUAGUAUCAGUGUCUGUGAUGUUGAUGAAAGCUUUCACUUGUUAAGGUAUACCGCCUCCAUAUUUUUGAAACCUGUUGGAAAGUUAGUCUCUGUGUUUGUGGUGUUCGACGAAAGAUUUGAUUUCAUAUGGCAUGCCGCUUACAUGGGCGUGAAACCGCCUUUUAUGUGGGAAAAUUUAGGGUCUCCUUCCUAGUAGCCUGGCUACUCUCUCCGAUAAUCUUUCGCUACUCUCUACCUGUCUGUCUAUUCGACUUCAUGUUACGAAUAUGUAGGCAGCACACCAUACGAAAUCAAAGCUUUUAUCAAACACCAUGGACAUAGAGACUAACUUUCCAAAAGGAUUCAAAACCAUGGAGGUGGUAUAUCUUGACAAUUCAAAGCGUUCGUCAACACCACAAACAUAGAUACUAACCUUUCUAAUAUGAUAGGCGAUUCACGUCCAUAUGGUGGCAUGCCAUAUGAAAUCAAAGCUUUUAAUCAAUAUGCCACAGCAUUCCUACGACUGAGCUACGCAUCUUAAUAGACAGUUUUGUUUUUAGCUAUAAAGCUUUCACAACCCUUAACGGGACGGCUUAACUUUGGAACAGCAAGCUAUACAUCAAGGAUGGUUUGCCUAGACAAAACAGCCUUCGCAACCCAAAAGAGGGAUGGCUUAACUUUGCUAGUCUUAGAAUAUAUGAUAUCCCUUGUCUCUUUAGUACACAACUGUUCUGUAUUUACCAAAAAUAGGUCUUACAGUAGCUCUCACUGGCCUGUUACUCUCAAAAUGGCUAUAGAACAAAAGAUAUACUAAGGCAGACCCCAGAUCUAUGGGUUGUUUCUCAAAUAUUGACUGGCCUAAUGCUGGCAGUCUUCUCCGUUGCUGGAUAUCAGGUAAAGAUCAUCGGUGUAGAUGUCUUCUGCUUCUUCAUAUACCUCUAUAGAGAAGAGGGUGUCCUCCGUUGGUUCUUAUUCCAGUGAUAAAACCGAUUCCAGGUCAUUCUCCAUGCUGAGAUAGAUUCUUGCGUGAUCAGCUAUCUCUUCAAAGACGUGAACAGAGUCCUUCCACUUCUUGGCUUGAGGAUAAUUUUUGGCAAAGUGGCCAGGCCUUCUGUAGUUGAAUCAGCCAUCAUCUUUCUUCUUGUACCUGGCUGGGCUACUCCAUUUGAAGUACUUGGUUUACUGGGUAAUCUUGCUUCUUUAAUCAAGAGGCCUUGGCAGUUUGAAGCUCCUAAAAAGAAGCCAUCUUUUUGAGCUCGUCUCAAGGCGAGGUCUGUGGUAGAUGAACUUAGUAAUAAGGUAUUUUUUGCUGCAGGCUCGAUCAAAGGCUGGAUUGUUUUUUAUCAUCUACUUCAGCCUAGACCUCUUGAUACAUAUGCUACCCAAAGCCUCAAAGAUGGCCUACCGGAUGUAAUUUAUUUGUGAGACAGUUAUAGACUUGAACUUCUCAACCAUAAUCAUCAUCGUAUGGUUUUCUAGCAUAGUCAGUAGUGAUAAUACAAAGGCUUACUUCAGGCUGUGAUCCUGAUUUGUGAGAUAAUCCUAACAUAUUUAAAGCUUUUAACUAAGAAUAAUUAUGAAGUCUUAAGCAACUUUUGUUGUUAUUGACUGGUUUAUGUUUGAUUUUGCAGUUUAAGCUGAUAUGAUAGAGAACCAACAAGAAUGGAAGCAAAGAAAUUAAAAUCUGAAGAAAUUUGAAUACAAGUCUGGCUGAUGACAUUUGUGGUAAGUCGUCAUUCCUGUGAUAAGUUAUCAAAGUCGUCAGAAGCAGUAAAUAGAGAAUUGUCCUAAGUUUAAAGAUAUGACAACAUUUUGUGAUAAGUCGUCAAGGGUCUGAUAAGCUGACAAGAAUGUCGUCAGCCUGAGGUAGCACAGGAGAAUUGAAGCAGAGUUGAUGAUAUUUUUUGAUAGGCUAUCAUGAAGUAAAUAAGUUUUCAAGUUUGUCUUCAGCCUUAAACAGGAUGAGCCAAAGCUGAAGAAGGAGCUGGCGACAUUUGUUAAAGUUGUCAGCCACAAGAUAGGCUAUCACAAAUGUCGUUACCUAAUCUGAGGGAUUUUUGAAUUCUAUUAUUUUGUUUCCAUAAUUAGGGUGAACUAUUUAAAGCGUUGUUUUAGGGUUUUUUGAGGAGAUCCGCAUAUUUAGUUUUGACAAUACUUUUUUACAUUUUUUUCUCUCUAAUUUCUUGGCUUGAAAAGCAAAUACUUUGAAGAGAUUAUUAUCAUUAUUCUGCGAUUUUCCUUUGUGAUCUAAUCUACGAUUCACUAGUUAUUAUUCUUCUUGUGGUAAGUUUAACCUUCCAAGCAUAAAUACAACUUGUUGUUUUGAUUUUAGCAUUAUGAGUGGCUAAAUUCCUUUGACCUGAAUUAUGAAAUCUAGUGUUAGGCCUUGAUAAGGUGCUAAGUGUUCAAGAUUCAAAAUGUGGUAGGAUUUCUUGGCAAUUCUGAGGUUUUAAUUAACGUCUGUUAGUUGUAAAUAAUAUAUAAAACCUUCUUUGGUUUGCUUGAGAAAGAAAUCAAAUAUAGUUGGAAGUGAGUUAUCAACAGGGACUUGGAAAUACUCCGUUUAAUAAUCAACGCUGUAACAAGGUUGGUUAACCUGAGGUAAGAUCUUGGUAGUGACUAUAAAUUCCCUAAGUCCGAGAGGAUUAGGUAAUUAAAUGCUUAAGCAGGUCGAGAGAUAUUUUAGCAUACCAUCGAUAAAGAUAACUUGUUGUCCUACCUACCCUGAGAAUCUUGAACAACCGUUAGCAUCUGUCAAGUAUCGAAAACCUUAGUGAACAUAAUUUUGGUUUUUCAAAAACUCUUGAGUAUGAACACUGACUAAAGAAACCGACAAUUACUUAUUAAACUAAAACCCCCCCAUUUCUAGGAAUAUCCAACUAUCAGUUGAUUGAUUUGUAAAUGACUUACGUUCAUACCAUAUUCCCAGUAGGAUUUGACCCCAACCUAGUUGGGUUUUAUAUUGACAACGAUCGCUUACAUUUUCAUUAAAAGGUGUAGUUUGAGUGUUAUAAAAAAUGGCGUCGUUGCUGGGCAAUACAAUUGUAAACUAAAGUUUGUGUGUGCAAAUUGACUAUUAGUUAAGUUUCCUAGUCUUAUGUUUAUUUGUUGUUUUUGUUUAUUUGCAGGAUCUUUAUAGUGUAUUCCAUGAGCCAGAAGUUCCGGUGAACUAUUAUUACCACCUAAUCUAGAAUCGCAACAAAUUGGAAAAAUGGCAGAACAGCAAGAGGCUAAAAGAUUGGCAACCUUAGUUCGAGCUCAGGUGAAUGUGCAAAAUGUCGGGCAAUAAGCACGAUAUCCAAACCUUGAAGACGAAGAUUUGGGAAACGAGGAGUUGUUGAAUUCUGGUAACCCAAGGCGUGCAGAGCAGAUAGCUACACCAGUACGGCAUAAUGUUAACAGGAAUCGUCCAUUUCAAGAAAGAUAAAAGUACUAGCCGGUCUAGUAUUAUCCCAAUGAUGAUGAUGAUGGAGUGGACGGAGCAGGUGCAGCGAGUGCAAUCGUUCCUCCUCCGUUGGCACCUAGGGCCAAGUUCAACAUUACGAGUACUAUGAUCCAACUCCUCACUCUAAAGGGGUUGCUUGGUGGCCUUCCUGGGGAUGACCCGAACUUUGAAUAUGGUGAAUUUUGUCACCAUCUCUAAAUCUUUUGAUAACCCAGGAGUGGACCAAACUGCUAUCCAGUUGAGAUUGUUCCUAUUGUCUCUGUCUGGGUAGGUAACUUUUUUGGAUAAAUAAACUGACGCCCGAUUCUAAAACCAACUCGAGCAAAUUGAAAGGAGCUUUCCUAAAAAGGUUCUUUUCGCCUUCCAGGAGGGUAUAGUUGAGGGACGAGAUUAGCCACUUUAGGAAACUCUCGACUGAAGCCUUACAUGAAACAUGGGAAAGAUUAAAGAAGAAGCUAACACAAUGUACGAACUAUAACAUGACGGACAUAUUCUUGAUAGAGACUUUGUACAGGGCUCUUAACUUUGUUAUGAAGCCAAUUGUAGAUAAUAUUUCUGGUGGUUCAUUUAUUGAUCUUACAUUACCAGAGGCUUCAAAUAUGCUGGACAGAAUGACCAAAUUGAGUCUGGCAUGGCAUACUAGAGACUCUGUGGUAGCUAGCCCCACCGCUUCUGUGGGUAUUACUAUGGAACAAUGCAGAAGAAAAAAGGAGCGUGACCAAGACAUGGCUCAACUUAAAACACAGAUGGACUUGCUAUCCAAGCACUUGCUAUCAGGAAAGGUUAAAAAAGUGAAAGCCAUGGGAUCUCAGGAUAGAAGUAAUGUUAAUGCAGAUGAAAAGGUGAACUAUGUUAAUAAUCAGGCGAGUUUCCAAGGAAAUAACCAAGGGAAUCAAGGUCAGAUCUUUUGUGACAAGCCUAUUUAUAAAGAUAGGGACCAAGGAAAUUAGAGGAAUAAUAAUGACAGGAUCGGGCUAUAUGUUCCUCUUGCAAAUGGUGAGGCUACUUCAACAAGUUCCGCAAAGAUGUCCAUGGAGGACAUGAUGGAUAAGUUGAUGAAGAGAGUGGAGGCAACCAACUCUGGUGUGACCACCAUGAAGAUCGAUCUAACAUCCAUUAGUUAGUUGGUGCACUUAUAGUCCACCAUAAUCAAACAUUGGAGCAAUAGAUGAGCCAACUUUUAACAUUAUUCAACUAGAGGAAGAACGGAACGUUACCGAGUGAUAUGGUCCAGAAUCUGCAGAAUAAUGGCUCAGGCAUGGCAAUUACCACUAGGAGUGGUAAGAUGUUACCUGGCCCUUAUGUGAGCAAACCCGUUGUUGAUGAGGUAGUUGUUGAUGAACCAAAAGAAGGUGAUCCAGUAGAGUAUAAAAAGAUGGAUAAUUAUGAUGAUGAUCUGGAGAAAGAUAAAGAGAAGGAGAAGGAGGUAGUGCUGAAAACUAUCCCAAGACCUCCCUUUCCUCAACGAUUGAAGAAGAAAACGGAUGAGGCAAAAUUUAUUAAAUUCAUGGCAAUGCUCAAGCAAUUAACAAUAAAUGUGCCUUUAGUUGAGGCACUUGAGAAAAUUCUAGGAUAUGCAAAGGUCAUGAAAGACCUUGUGAUUAAGAAAUGGAAGGUUAGCCAUGAAUCGAAGGACAAUCUUCUUCAUUGUGGCACUAUCUCUACAAGGUCUUUAAUGUAGAAAAAGGAAGAUCCUAGAGCAUUUACCAUCUCGUUCACUAUUGGUUCCCUAAAUUUCACAAAAGAACUAUGCGAUUUAGGAGCUAGUAUAAACCUAAUAUCACUUACUGUGUACAAGAAACUGGGUUUGGGGGAUCUUACUCUGACAAACAUGCGGUUAGUGAUGUAAGAUAUAGGUUUGUAAAGAGGCUUGUGAGCAUAUUACAUGAUGUCUUAGUUAAGGUGGCCGAUUUCAUUCUUCCUGCUAAUUUUGUAGUCCUUGAUUAUGAAGUGCACUUUGAAGUGCCCAUAAUCUUAGGUAGACCAUUUCUUGAAACUGGGCAAGUGAUAGUAGACAUGAACCUGUUGAAGUUCAGGCUCAAUGUCAAAGAAGCACGCUUCAAAAUACACUCAUCCAUGACUCAGCAAAAAGUGAUAGGUGUUUUCUCAAUUGUUGAUGUAUUCUAUGAAGAUGGUAAAGGGGUGUCAACAGGUUGUCAUGACGAAGUCUGAGUAGUCAAGAUAACCAAGUCGUGUCGCGAUAUUAAAUCAGGUGCUUUUAGGAGGCAACCCAAUAUUUUUAUAUUCUAGUAAAUUGUUUAUUUUUGUAGUAGGUUAUAGCUCAAAGAGGGUAGAAUCGAUGUAUUCAGCCAAGUGCCCCUGACGAAAUUUUUGAUGGGCUGUCACGAUUGUGAUAAGCUGUCAGAUUUGUCAUCAGAGACCUUAGCUCUAAAGAAGGGUAUGUCAAGGCUGAUAAAAUUUGUGAUAAGAUAUGACAAUUGUGACGGCAUAUCAGAAAUGUCGUCACAAAAAAUCCCAAUAUUAGCUGAAACUGUGGGCCAAAUUAAAAAGACCCGACCUGGCCGACAGAUUGGCGUUUCCACUUUCCUGCCUAGUUUUUAAUUUCUUUAAGUUAUUUUUCUUCCAUACUUAGAAUAUUUUCUUCCAUGUUUUGAACUCUUUCUAAGUAAAACAAGAAGAAAGUUCCUUAUGUGUGUGGGUUUGCAAUUAAAAUCAAGAACUUCUUCUUACUUCCUUUUGCUCGAGUAAUCACAUUGAAGGUUCCCAUCAGGUAUGAUUGAAAUUUAACUUUUCUUUUCUAAUAGUAAGUGAUAGAUUAAUGAAAACCCAAGUUCCUAAGAAGCUUGAACAAAGUUCAACUUGCAAAAAGGCCUAAAAAUUAGAACUAGGGUUUACUGUGCAAGCCUAAGGCUUAUAAAGCUCAGCUCAAAAAUGAAACUUGAGUGGAUUUUAAGGAAAAAUAGCUCCAAAAAUUGUAUCAAAGUCAAAGUGAAGUUCUGAUGAGAGUUGACGACUUUCAUGAUAAACUAUGACAACUGUGAUGGCUUAUUAAAAAUGUUGUCAAAGGCAGCUCAGAAUGAAGUAGGUUCUAUUUAGAGCUGACGACAUUUGAGAUAGGCCAUCACGUUUAUGACGGCUUAUUCAAAAUGUCAUCAAAAGUUGAUAAAAUCUUAUGAGUUCAGUUUAGAGCUGACGACAUUUAUGAAAGGCUAUCAUGUUUGUGAUGGCUUAUCAAGAAAUAUCAUCACACUUGGGACCUAAAGCAUUACUAAACCCUUUCAAGGGGUGUGGAAUUUCAAUGAUUGAUGUGUUUGUGUUUGUACUCAUGAGGGUCAACUAAUGGUUUUUCUCUUACUAGAGGUCUUGAAUGGCACCUAAAGUAAAAAACUCAAAAUCUACAAGGAAAGUGACCAAGGAAAGUGCAUCUCGGAGACUUUUCAAUGAAUAGUCUGAUUAUAAAGAGGGAGCGCCUCUACUGAGGAAGCAAAAGAAGAAGAAAAUCUCUAAAAAGACUCCACCACCCCCACCAGUUGAGGUGGAAGAGAGUGAAGAAAGUGACAUUGAGCCAAUAAUAUUCGAGUAUAUAGCUUCUGAACAGUUGGCCUCUGAGCAACAAGAGUCUAAACAUGCUGCAUCUGAAGAGCAUGAAGUAGAUCAUCCUGAGUCGGAGGAACAUGAUUCUGGGAAACCUGAAUUUGAGGGACCAUCAACUGAAUCCCCUUCUGCUAAGCCAAAAUAUGACGAAGACUCUCCGAUUCAGGGAACUAUGGUCAAAUCCAAUAAUCCUGAAGUCCAACAUAGCACUAGAUGGCAGAUUCGCAAAGCAUAGAAAAUAUUUUUUGAUGGGCUUCGCAAAUCCAACAGGACUGCUAUCAAGAGGACAAUCUUUGAGGAGAAGAAAAUUAUCACUAAGGGGUUGAGUAGGUACCUGAAAGUGGAGCAGAAAUUUCAUGGAUAUGAUUUGGGAUGGACUACACGGGGAGGAAAUUCAUAUUUCCCUACGCCAGUUAGGGAGUUCUAUGAAAACUACCAAGCUCGCUUGGAAAACAUAUGUAGAGAAGGAAAGAAAGCAGCUGAAUUGGACAAAGUUCUGGUACAGGGUGUAAUGGUGGAUAUUUCUGAGGCAAUAAUCAAUAGGUUCCUUCAUGGCCCAAAAUUUACUCCUCAAGCUAGUUCACCUACUUUGUAUGCCCAGUUGAAGCAUCGAGAAAAUCAGCAGAAUUGGUUAGCCACACUCAUAGGCGAUAGAUAACCGAAAUGGCUAAUAAAUUUGAGUGAAAGGAUCUUCAAGCCCUCCCUGAAUUCAGAGAAAAGAUUUUGGUAGGGUAUAUUUCUUACUUGGUUUAUGCCCACAGAUGGUGAUAAUAUUCUCGGGGAUGAUAGAGCAAUAUUAGUCACAAGUUUUGCGGCUAACCUCAAAUUGAAAUUUGGAGAGAUUAUUGCUGAAGAGAUAAAAAUUCAUUUCUCGAGGUCUGAUACAACAUAUCGCUUCCCUUAUUUAAUUACAAGGUUGUGUAGGGCAGCAAACAUGCUGAAGAUUAUAGGGUUAGAAGAAGAACUCCUUGCCAAGAAGACCCACAAUCCUAUCAAAAAUGGGGAAAUUCAGCAGAGGCUAAUGUUUGAUAGGGUCACAGAGAUUCCCAGUAAUCCAUCGGUUAUAGGUACUAAUUUAUUGCCAAAUGAAGAGAUGCCAGAUUAUAAAGAAACAGUAUGUAAAGUAAGGAGAAAGAUAAAACAACUUACAAAUUUAUUAGAACUUCAAAGAAAACAUUACAAAAUAGUAGGUUUUACAAGAGAAUAGGCAGGAGAGAAUUUUCUAGAGUUAGGAAAUUUUUGGAUGCCUUCUCCUAGAUUACAAGCUGUCUUAUAUAGACAAGAGAAAUGUAAGUUAUACAUCUGGUGUGUACAUUUGUAAGGCUCGGAUUUAAUCUCUAAAAGUAGAUUCCUUUCUUGAGUGGAAAUGUUUUUGAAAAGCAGAUGUUCUGAGUGGAGAUGCCUUUUGAAAAAGCAGAUGUGCUGUCUGAGCAAAUUUGUCCUUUUCUUUUUAGAAAAGCAGAUUCUUCUAGCUUUAUAAAGCUGAUUGAUUGUUGUCUAAAGCCGGUAGGGUCUUGUAGAUUCCCUGCUAGGAAUAGUAGAAUGCCUCUUCAAAAAGUAAUUCCAGUUCUUUGAACCUCUACCUUUUGAAGGGGUCGCUUCUUCAUUCUUAGUAGGGGUCCAUAUAGGCCCUAGCAAUUCUUUUGGGAUUUAACAUAUCACCGUUGUUGUCACUGCUUCCAGUGGAGGAGGCUUCUUCUAGAAUCUGGAGUACGUCUUCGUUGGUAGUUUGUAAAGCCUUUUUCAAUCUUUCUCUAAGCGUCUGUUUAUCUUGAGAGACACUUGCUGAAGAUGCUGUUUUUCUUCCUUUGUCAAGGAUUUUUGGAGCUACUGGCUUUGGAGUCCAGCCUUUAACCUUUAUUUCUUUUGAUAGAUAUUUAAUUCUAUCUUGCUCUCCUUUGGCAAAGUUCCAGGAGAUGAUGUAAGAUACUCUCUUCUUAAUGAAGAAUUUGCACAUUUGGAUGUGCUCUGGAAGGGUUAUGCAUCCCUCUUUUGCGCAAAACUCUGAGAAACGGUUAAGAAAUUGCUGAGGGAGGAUUUCUUUGAUUCCUCAUAAGUAUACCCACCAUUCGUAAAACCAUCUAGGUAUAAUGGCUUCUACCAUAGCAGGACAAUAUUUAACAAACCAGGUAUGUCCUGGUCGAACAUAGAGGAAAUUGAACCAGGCAGACUUCUGGUCGAACAUAGAGGAAAUUGAACCAAGCAGACUUGUAGUCGUACCAAUUGUAUGUUUGAGGCCUAUGUGGCAUGGAUAGGGCAAUAGGAGUAUGCAGGUGAUCUGCAAACCAGUUAAAUGGGGUUAAUACCCUUUUGAUGGUAAAUCUCGAAUAAUCAAUAAACUCCGGAUUCACUAAAAGCUUAUACACCUGCUUGCAAGAUACCUGUGAAGCUAUUGAUGUAUCUGCUUGCAAACUGCUGACUCACCUGCUUGCACAUGCUGUCACAUGCCAACAACAUAGUUUUUUUUUUAAGUUGGCCCCAACAUGUUAGUAGGGUCCAGUGUGAAUAAAGAUAAGGCUUAUCUAAUCAUAACAGAUAAUAAUUAUCCCUUCCAAAAGGAUAAGACUUGUGCUUAUUAAUGGAUAAUACCUAUCCCUUAGCUAUUAGGAUAGGAAUGUAUUAUUUUAUUUUAUGAUUAUCCGUAGCUUAGCAUAGCUAGUAAGUUUUCUUCCUCAAGAAAAAAAAAUCCUAGGCCAUUAUGUUAGAGGCAGCAUUUGUUCUACCUAAAAACCUCUUGUAUAGCUUGUCCCUAUUAUCAAUGAAAAUGUUUGUUGGAUAAACUCUCUUGCUUUUUCUUUCACUCUUCCAAAGGGAUGGGUAUGUUGAUCCUUUAGGUAAGAGUAGGAGGUAAGGAAAUACUACGAUGAAGUGCUAGCUUUUUGUGAUGGCAACAAUGGCACCCUAAAGUUACUUUCCAUGUUUAUGAAAUAAAGUUGGCUUUGUCCUUAUGACGUAGAUGUCUAACUACUUUCCAUGUAUAACGAAGUUGGCUUUGUCCAUACGAUGUAGAUUUCUAAGUCCUUUCCAUGUAUAAGAAAUGAAAUUCGCUUAGUCCAUGCCAUAGAUUUCAGAAAAGAUUUAAUAUCAGAGAAAAAACAAGCAGAUUUGGGUCUACUUUAGUACACCUUUUGUUCUACAGCUAUUUUUAAGGCAACAGGCCAGAGAGCACCAUAAGACCCAUUUUAGGCAAAUAAAGAACAAUUAUGUACUAAGGAGACAAGGGAUCUCAUGUGUUCUAAGACUGGCAAAGUCAAGCCAUCCCUCUUUUGGGUUGUGUAGGCUUUGUUGCCGAGGAAAACCAUCAUUGAUGUGUAGCUUGCAGUUCCAAAUUCAAGCUAUCCCGUUAAGGGUUGUGAUGGCUUUGUAGCUAAAAAUCAAACCAUCUAUACGGAUGCGUAUCUCAAUAGUAGGAAAGUUGUGUCUUGUCGAUUAAAAGCUUUUAUUUCAUAUGACAUAUCGAUUAUAUAGACGUGAAUCACCGGUCAUGUUGGAAAGGUUAGUCUCUAUUUUUGUAGCGUUGACGAAAGAUUUGACUUAUUAAGGUAUACUGCCUACAUGGUGUUGAGACCUAUUGAAAAGUUAGUCUUUGUGUCUGUGGUGUUUGACAAAAUCUUGGAUUUUGUAUGGCGUGUUGCCUACAUGGUCGUGAAACUGCCUUUAAUGUUGGCAAGUUUGGGGUCUAUUUCCUGGCCGCCUGGCUGCUCUCUUCGGCAGUAUUUCAUACCCCUCUGCCUCUCCGUCUAUAUGGUAUCAGAGCCAUCCUGACUUUUGGAGGCCGGGAGAAAGCAGGAGUUUGCAUCCACCUCUUUUGAUUGUAAAUGCGUGAGCCAGCUUUAGUUUUUUAUUUCUUUUGGUUUUACUCUUCACUUGUCCAAACUACUACACUUAGAUCCAUCCUUAGUUUUAUCUUUCAAGUGUAUUACUCAUUUUUUGUAUAUAUUAGAGUCAUAGUUUCAUUUCAAUUGUCAGAGUCAGUGUUUCCCAGUAUAGUUGUCUACGUAUUGUACAAAAUUGAGACGUAGUUACUUUAUUAGAUUUUAGAACAAAUAUUUGUUGUGUCCUUAGAUCCUUAGCACAAAUAUAUUGAGUUAGUCCAUAAAAAAACAAAAAGAUUUUUAUUUUAUUGGGUCUUUUCCAUAGAUCUUUAGAACAAAUACAUCGAGUCAUUAUGGUCCUAAAAAAUACAAAAAUAUGUCUUUCUCUAUAGUUUCUUCCACUUUGUCCAAUCUGUACCGGUUCCUUCCUUAGCUAGCCAUGUUACCAACCACUCACAAGACAUUGUCAUGUAAAUAUGACAAUCUCUAUGAAGUAUAGGAGUUACAGCCCGAACAGGAUAUAUACUCCACAUAUAUACCUCUACCUAACCCUUACUCUGCCUUUGUUAAGAAAGCAUGUAAUCCAUGGAUGCAGAUUCAUUCCCUGCAUCAGAAUAGGUCAAAGGGAGUUAAGAAAUACUUUGCAGCCAUAACUCUUUACCAGCAUAUCCUUGUGACUCUUGAUAACCAUUUUAUCUCUAUGAAAACUGCCACAAAACUUCCCAAAAGAGUGGAGAAACCAUGGUCAUACCCAUAUCCAUUUUUGUGCUAUUCAUGUUGCAUUGACGCAUCAUGGAAGAAAAGGAUAGCCACUAAAGGUAUCACUUUCUAUCCUCAAUACAAGAUUCUAAAAAUACCAAGAUGUGAAUCUAGGUACUCUACAUGUUAUCCUGGAUCGUGGGACACUUGUCAUAACUCUUUUUCCAAACCUUACCAUGUCCUUUUGUGAUCAAAACUUAACCGAGCCUAUUAAAAUCCAAUCCCAAAUCCUAGACAUACCUAGGCUAGCUUGUAUCCAACUAUACACCACCAAAUAGCUUGGCAAUUGCAAAACCACAAAGACCCUCUUUCCAUUCCAGGAGACCAAACAACCUUAUCCUUAGCCAUAGAUACGACCCAAUGAACCACCCUUGGUGUACAAAUAUCAAAUCAAGUGUCAAGGGAAGAAUUGUUUAAAAUCACUCCUGAUGAAUAUGACAACUGUUAUAAGAAGUUGAUAUUCUAUUCAUAGCAUCUCCGAAAUUUAUCUGUAGUGACCUCUCCCCCGACAUCUUUACCUAUUCAAAUGGUCAUCCCCAAUGAUAUAUAUCUAGAAAAAGAAAGGUAAAACCCAUUAUAUGUCUCCCACUCAUUUGAAGGGAUCAUGAGAGAUAAUGAUUAGGUCUAGCAAUUCAAUCAUGAGGGAUACAAUAUAGACUGGUUCAAAUGUCCUUUCAUAGGACGCUGUCUAUAGGUCAACAAUUUUAGCUAUGCAGAUUGCAAUAUAACCUGGCCAAAUAGUGGUCACAAUGAAUUUUGUGAUACAGACCAUGCCAUACUCAUAUAGGUACUAUAAGAAAGGAGACAGAAUACUCAGUCUGCCAUACGUCCUCUAGACACCUCCAUGUUAUCCUUCAUUGAUCAUCAACGAAGAGAAAUAACAUCACUUGAAGAACAAAUUACUUUUUUCAGGUACGGCAGUACAAACCCACAAAAUAUCAUAACAUAUGUUGCACUUCCCACUUCAACACAAAGCAUACAACCCCACUUUUCUAUAUCUCCAUCAAGCUCAUCUAGCUCGGAGCUUCUCUGCCAAACCCAAGAAGAUGAGCCAAUAUCUGAUCUACCCAUAGGCUUAUGGAAAUGGAAGAAGGCCAUGUUAGACUACCAAAAAGACAAUGAAUAAGUCAAAAGGAAGAAUUCCCCAUAUGUUGCUGCUGAUAUGAUGGACUCAAUGGCUAUCGCUCCAAUACAAGAUGACAUCUUUGUAGACUAGAUGCUAUAGUCCCAAAUGGUGACCUACAGAUCUCACAUGAACCAUUAUAGGAUGAAUACUGGGAUUCCAUUGAGCAUAGUCUCCAUAAUGGUGACUAUAUAUGUCCAGAGUUCUUCUGGAAAAAUGACCUUCACCUUUAGAACAGGCCACCUCAGUGUCUGAUAUAGUAGAAGCCAGGAAUUAUAAUCCUCAGAAAUUCCAUAGAUAUCCAGUUGAGGAAUAUCUGAAUUCCUCUAAUGCCUUUGAAGAAGUCAUCCCAAAGAAACAAAAAGAUCAUCAGCAUCCUCAGUUAAUGGAUCCGGUAAACAUAAUGAUAUCAAACCAUGAACCAGCUCCAAUUCUUCCCGCGGAAGCUAUUGAUGCUGCAAGCGUGAUUACCACUAAUCAUAUCAAACCAGAUGAGUCCCUCCAGCUCUCAAGACAUUAGUCGAGGCAUAAAAGUACAUGCAAUACAGUUGGGCCAGGAAGAAGAAACCACCGGAUAAAGAGCAGAUAUCCAGCGACAGCGCCACAUCCCCUAGAAAGAAAGAUCCAGGAAAGGCUAAGUGCUUUAUCUUCCAUAGAAAAAAACACUGGGCAAAUAUAUGUCCUAAGUCUAAGAAGGAAAAAGGGACGCUCAAUAUGUAGGAGGAAAAAUGGAGGUGAACAACUCCCCAAUCGAAGAUAAACCUCUUCAUGGUCCACAAAACGAUUUUUGAUAUACUGGUAGCACAGAUGUAGGAAUGUUCGAGGACUGUCCAUCCCUCUUUAUUGAUGGCCAACCUCAACCAAUAUUUAUCGAUGACUACUUGGAGAAGGUCUCAUCAUCCAUCAGCGAAGGGGAAUUCUAUCGGUUAUCAAAGUUGAUUGUGGAGAUCAACAUGCUCACAGAAGGAAUCAGCAUGAUCUCUAAACUGGAAAUGCCCCAUGUCGAACUCAAGCUAUAUCAACCAGGUUGGUACAAGCCCCUUAAUUCAUCGCCUUCAUGGUCACUGGGAUAGUUGCCUCAAUACUAAAUCUCGACAUCAUCCCCAAUGAUCACUGGGUUCCUCACUUUAGAACAUUUGGCACAGCAUUAAAAGGUGGAGUGCUCACAACGAAGAGGAUCAUGAGGCAGCCAAUCAUGAUUGAAUUCUUCCCAGGAAUCUUACAGGACAAAGCUCCUUUUCUCCAACAUACCUGGAAAGGAUCUUAUCGUUGGUUUUGAUACCUACAGGCAGCUGAAGAACCGCGUCAUUAUUAUAAUGAAAGGUAUCAACUUCAUGGGCUGAUUUAAACAAUAUUUCAUUAUACCGAGGUUAUUCUAGAUUGUUGAUAAAGACUCAGUAAAGAAGAUGGAAAAGUAGUUGAUAGAAGAAUCUUAUACUGAAUCCCACAGAGUGUUCCUCAACACGACCAAACAUCCCCUGUUGCUCAAUCAGGAAUUAUUUAUUAGACUUCCAUUCAAGAAGAGUGAGAACAUCAACCCCACAAAGGAAAGUUAUUCUGGUAUGAACCACAAAUAUCUUCAUCUUGCAAAGAAGCAAUGUAUUGAGCUUAUCGAGUUUGGUCUCAUCGAGCCAUCAGAUUCCUAGUGGUCUUGUGAGUCAUUCUAGGUCAACAAACGCGCCGAACAGACAAGGGGAAGGCUUCGUCUAGUCAUAAAUUACCAGCCCCUAAACCACUUCCUUCUAGAUGGUCAGUUUUCCAUUUCAAAAAAGCUUACCCUAUUCUCGCACAUAGCGAAAGCCACCCCUCUUUUCCAAAUUUGACCUCAGAUUUAGAAUCUGGAAGCUAGGCAUACACCAAGAAGACAGGGUCAACAUGGCCUUCAGCAUACCCAAUCACCACUAUCAGUGGAAAGUUAUGUUGUUUGGGGUCAAACCUGCCCCCUCACUCUUCUAAAAGGCCAUAAUUAGGAUAUUCCAGCCCAUCCUACAUACAUCAUUGGUCUACAUCGGCGACAUACUACUCUUUAGCAAUACUUUAGUGGAAUACUUGCACCUUCUUUGUUAGUUCUAUGACCUAGUAAAGCAACAUAGAGUUAUGCUCUCGACAAAUAAGAUAUCCCUAGUAAAAGCUGAGAUUGAUUUCUAGGUGAUGUAUUUUUCCCAUAGGUCUUACACUCCAAGAUCCCACAUAUGGAAAGAACUGCUUAGGUUCCCAGACACCAACUUCUCCAUAAAGCAGCUCCAGCAAUUUUGGGUGUAAUUAACUAUGUGAGAGACUUCAUCCUUGACGUUUCCACAUAUAUCUCCCCACUUACAAAGAUGCUCAAGAAAAAUGCUUCAGCCUAGGGAAAAGAGUAGGAUGAUACAGUCCAAAGGAUAAAGGGAAUAUCCAACAAGUUCAAGAUGCUCCAUAUUCUGUUAGACUGAUAGAUGAUAUUGCAGACCGAUGCAAGGAAUGACUAUUGGAGUUCAGUUCUCCUAGAAGAGAAAAACGGCCAGCGAAAGAUAUUUGGACAUGUAAGUGGAAAGUUCAAAGAGGCGGAACAACAUUUUUAUUCCACCUUCAAGGAAAUUCAUGUUGUGGAGAAUGGAAUAAAUAAGUUCAACUUCUUCCAUAUUCACACAGAAUUUUUGAUGGAGAUGGAUAUGCGGGCUUUUCCCUGAAUGGUCCAGCUGAACUCAAAGGUCAUCCCAAAUCUACAAAUUUUCUGAUGGUCUCAAUUAUUUUCUCCCUAUAAAUUCAAAUCCAGACAUAUCAAGGGAAAGGAGAAUAUCUUGGUGAAUUUCCAAUCAUGACAGUAGGAAUUAUCUUCCAAACAAUGCAUGGAAAAAGGUAAAAACCAAACAAUGCUGGCCAUCAAACUCAUGCACCCACUCAUCAAGCAUGGUGUAGACUGGUGGAUGGAAAAAGCAUCUGCAAGCCCAUCGUUGUUGGCACCAUCCAAUACUGCUUGAAAGAUAACGUCAAAUGACAUGUGCAAAAAAGUUACCCUUUCCAGCGGGUUACCCUUCCCAGUGGGUUACCCUCUUCACUGGGCUACCCUUCUCAGUUGGUUACCCUUCUCUCCAAGGAAACCCUAUUAGAUUGGUUACCUUUACCUGUGAAUUACUCUUUCUAGUAGGUUACCCUCCUCUCCAAAGAAACCCUCCUCAGUGGAUUACCCUUUUAGAUAGGUUUUUAAAGUUUCUCACUCAGCUACUUCGAAGACAAGGAGCUUAUCCACCUACUUGCAAGAUGCCUGUGAAGCAGCUGAUGCACCUGCUUGCAAGCUGAUGACUCACUUGCUUGCACAUGCUAUCUCAUGCGAACAACAUAUUUUGUUUUAUUUUUUAUUUGGCCCCCCAAAUGUUAGUACGACCCGGUGUGAAUAAAGAUAAUGCUUUUCUAAUCAUAACAGAUAAUGCUUAUCCCUUCCAAAAGGAUAAGACUAAAUCUUAUUAACAGAUAAUGUUUAUCCCUUAGCUGUUAGGAUAGGAAUUGUAAUAUUUUAUUUCGUGUUUAUCCGUAGCUUAAUUUAGGUAGUAAGCUUUCUUCCUCUAUAAAAUAAAGCCUAGGCCUUUAGGUUUGAGGCAUCAUUUGCUUUACCUUGAUCAUUUCCUAUACCUAAAAACCCCUUGUAUAAGUUUCUCCCUGUCUGUGCCAUACUAAGAGAUGCUCGUCUAUUAAAUUUCGACGAUUCACUCUUCUUACUUUCUCUAUUCUAAAGGGAUGGGUACUUCAAUCCUUUUGGUUAGAGUAGGGGGUAAGGAAAUACUACGGCGAAGUGCAAGCUUGUUCCGACGGCAACAAUGGCAUCCCAAAGUUACUUUCCAUAUUUAUGAAAUGAAGUUGGAUUUAUCCAUACGACGUAGAUUUUUAAGUUCUUUCCAUGUAUAUUAAACGAAAUUGGCUUAGACCAUGCCAUAGCUUUCCCAAAAGAUUCAAUAUUUGAGAAAGAACACGCUGAUCUAGUGUCUGCCUUAGUACACCUUUUGUUCUUUGAUUGUUUUUAAGGGAAACAAGCCAGGUAGAGCCACCCUAAGACCCACUUAAGGCAAAUAUAUAAUAGUUGUGUAUUAAGGAGACAAGUGAUCUUAUGUAUUCUAAGCAUGACAAAGCCAAGUCAUCCCUCUUUUGGGUUGCGAAGUCUUUGUUGCCGAGGAAAACUAUCCGUAAUGUGUAGCUUGCAGUUCCAAAGUCAAGCCAUCCUAUUAGGUUUUGUGAAGGGUUUGUAGCUAAAAUGCAAACUGUCUAUACGAAUGCGUAGCUGGGUCAUAGGAAGUUUUGUGGCGUGUCAAUUAAAAGCUUUGAUUUCGUAUGUCGUGCCGCCUAUAUGGACGUGAAUCAAUAGUCAUGUUUGAAAGGUUAGUCUCUGUGUAUGUGGUGUUGACGAAAACUUUGACUUGUUAAGAUAUACCGCCUCCAUGGUGUUGAAACCUAUUGGAAAGUUAGUCUCUGUGACUGUGGUGUAAGAUGAAAACUUUGAUUUUGUAUGGCGUGUGUCCUAUAUGGUCGUGAAACUGCCUUUCAUGAUGGAAAUUUUAGGCUCUGCUACCUGGCUUCUUGGAUUCUCUCUCCGUUAGUCUUUUGUGCCCCUCUGCCUCCUAGUUUAUUUGGUAUUAGAGCCAACCCCACUUUCGAAGGUCGGGAGAAAGAAGGAGUUUUCAUAUACCUCUGCUGGUUGCAAACGCGUGAGCUAACUUUACAUUUUUAUUUUCUUUUGUUUUUAUAUUUUCUUUUUCUUAGUUUUUACUCUAAGAUCAAGUGCAUAGUUCGUGCUUUCCAGUUUAUCACUAUCCAAGUCAUGUACAUAUUUGAGUCAGUUUUUUCAUUCUAUUAUCAGAGUCAGUGUUCUCUAGUAUAGUAUUCUGCAUCUUGUACUUACUCAAGUCGCUUUUUAACUGAGUCUUAUUGUCCACAAAAACACAAAAAGAUUUGUAUUCUAUUGAGUCUUUUCCAUAGAAGAUUAGAACAUAUACAUUGAGUCUUUACAGUCGAGAAAAAACAAAAAAUAUGCCUAUCCCAGAGUCCUCAUCUAGUUCACACAAACUUUUUGUCAAGAUAAAACCCAACUAGGUUGGGGUCAAAUCCCACAGGGAAUAGGGUGUGAACUUCAGUUUGUUUAUGAAAUACUUUACUGGUAGUUUACUGUUUCUGAAAAUAGGGGUUUAAGUUUCACAUAGAGUCAAUUGUCACUUUCAAUAUUUUAGUGUUUGUAACCAAGAUAAAUGGGAGACCAAAGUUAUGUUCACCAUGGGUUUUGGGAAUUGAUAGAUAAUACAUAAUGCUUACGACUCUUGAAGUAAGUAGAAACAGCAGAAUACGCCUGACGUCGAUACUAUCUGACUUAUCUCUCAACCUCACCAGACAAUUUAUUAUCUAAUUCUCUCGAACUUAGAUAACUUAUCCAUUUCCAAUAGGAUAUUAUCCCAGGAAGUUUAAUCUAGUUACGGCAUCAAUCAUUAAACAGAAGGUUGGUAGCUUCUGAAUCCCUGUUGAUAAUUCACGUCCUCUAGUUUAUUUCUCUGUUAAAAUCAAAUAGGCCUAAGCCAUAACCUUUUGUUUGCAACCAAAAGAUUCAAGUUAAAGCAAUAGAAUUUAAAGAUGUCCUACUACUCUUUGAAUCCUUUCAAUACCUAGCAUGAUAUCAAACCCUAAUCCAUGGAUCCCAUAACUCGGGCUAAUGGAAUUAGCCGCUCAUGAUUUGAUGAACAAAAUAACAAGUUGGAUUCAUGAUAAUAUGGAUAGAUUUACUAAUGGAUGAAACCCAACAAGUAUUUACUAAAUUCAAUCACAAUAUAAAACCCCACAAUAAUUGAUAAGUGUUUGGAAAAAAAACAAGAAAAAUAUCUGAUGAAAAAGAUUAAGCAAUUUUACGUGCCACCCUCCAAGUUAAUUGUCUGAUAGAUUCUCCAUCAUAAAAAUCCAAAAAAAGAUGAUUUAAAAAAACCUAAAACAAGUCUUUAAAUAGUUAAUUCUUAAUAAGGAAACAAAAAUAGAUUUCAGUUUUCUCUUCGGAAUAGUCGACGGCUAUCUUGAUGGCGUGUUAGACGUCUGACGAUGUGUGCAAGUUAUCAUCAAAUAUUCCAGUGAAUUUUUAUCUUGUGAGUCUUCUGACAGCAAAUCUAACGGAGUGUCAAUUAAGUGACGAUGCAUGAAAAAUGUUUUCACAUCUUCAUAGGAAUCAUCAUGUUCUGCUUCGAGUUAACAGCAAUUUUGAUGCCUUAUCAUAGUUGUGACGGCACUUCAAGAAGGUCAUCACACGUUACUUUAAUUCUUUAGAUUUUGUCUAUGCUUGACGGUGACUUUAACAGCCUUUCACAUAUCUGAUAAGGCUUCAGAAAUGUCUUCAUCUUUACUUCUGCUUAUUUGCACCAGAUUCUAACUGAUUUCUUCUUCUUUUCUUUUGUUUCCUCCCCUAUCAUUCACAUCUGCAUUAACACAAUAAAAAUAACCAAAACUAAUAAAAGUGGCUUAAGACUUUGCAAUUAUUUUGAGUUAAAAGCCUCAAAUGUGUUAGCAUCUACUCACACAUCAGUAGCUUGCAAGCAGGUGCAUCAGGAGCUUCAUAGGCAUCUUGCAAGUAGGUAAAUAAGCUCCUUGUCUCUGAAAUAGUUAAGUGAGCAGCUUCAAAAAUCCAUCUAAAAGGGUAACCCACUAAGGAGGAUUUCCUUGGAGAGAAGGGUAACCUACUGAAAAGGGUAACCUACUGGAAAGGGUAACCCAUUUAACAUGUUACCUUGGAGAAAAGGGUAACCCACUGAGAAGGGUAACCCACUUGAGAGGGUAAUCCACUGUAAAAGGCAACCCGGUGGAGAGGGAAACUUCUUGCUCAUGUCAUCUGAUGUCAUCUUUCAGACAGUGUUGGAUAGUGAAUGCUGCGAUGGGUUUGCAUAUCCUUCAUCCAUCCUUCAAUUAAUUUUGUGCUUCUGCUUGAGGCGUUCUUGGCCUUCUAAGCUUUUCUUCAUUGAUCUGGUGAAGUAACUCUUUCUAAACGAUAAAUCUUCACAUUCCUGUUGGGGAGAUUUCAGUUGUAUGCUUUACUGGAACCAGUGACUUCAUCUUUAAUGAUCUCGUACUGCAGCUGAUAUUGUUUUACUGCUCAUCGCACCUCAUCCCAGUGGGGCUGACUUUUGUAUGUAUAGUUCCAUCUUCCCCAUUCCUUUGGCAAGAUUUCCUUUGGAAUGCAUAUUUUCUUAAAAAUAAAACAUUGGGCUUCAUAGUAUUCAUCUUUAAAAGAGAGUAUGGACAUGGGAAAUUUCUAGAGGAGUGAAAUUUCUAGCUGAGCUUGGAUGUUGUGGUCUGAGAUUCCCACAAGGCAAUGUAGUAUGAAGGCCAUUACAUUAUAUAAAUCCUUGAAGUAUCGAAUCCAAUAUUCUUGUGACUUGAACCACAACAUGAAUCUCUUUAGAGCAGGUUAGAUUCGAUCGAAAUGCCUGAAAGCAUCACACUUGAACUCAGUGAGAAUGUACUGCUGGUGGUAUAGAUACCAAAAUAGCCACAUGAAUUUUUGUGGGAAGUCAUUGGAAAGCGCAAUGAAUACAUAGUAUAAGGGAUAUUCCGAGUGUACUCCGAACGGCUUCAGGAUGGAUCCAUCAUAUUUUUUGAACACUUAAAGCUCGUAGUAGAUUAUUCUUUAUUAGAGGAUAGAUGGAUAGAAGGGAUCCACAUACUAGUUAAAUAGAUCUAGAGGGUAAUCUUCUAGCCCAAAAGAUAGUAUUCCUAUUAUGUUGAGAAUGAGGAUUUGACUGGCCCGAUGCUUUUAGUCUUCGCUGUUGUUGGACAUCAGGUAAAGAUCAUUGGCAUAUAUUUCACCUACUAUGUCAUAUAUGUCUAUAGAGAUAAGGGUGACCUCUAUUGGUUCUUCUUCCAGUGAGAAGACUGAUUUGAGGUCAUCCUCCUGAGAUAGGCUCCAACAUGAUCAGAUAUCUCUUCAAAGAGGUGGACGGAGUCCUUUGACUUCCUAACUUGAGGAUAGUUUCUACAAAAGUGGUGAGGUUUUCUGCAGAUAAAGUAGCCAUCGUCUUUCUUCUUGUCGUUUGCUAUACUUCUUUGUCUGAAGUACCUGAUUCACCGGGUAACCCUGCUUCUAUCAUCGGGAGGCCUUGGUAGUUUUAACCUCCUGAAUAGCAGCUGCCUUUUCCUGCUCGUCUUUCAGUGAGUGCUGGGGCAGUUGGACUUGGUGACUAUGUUGUAUUUGUUGUAGGCUCGAUCGAGGGUUGGAUUGUUUUUUAUAAUUUGCUUCAGAAUUUUCCUCUUAAUGUAUAUGUUGUCCAGAGCCUGGAAAAUGACCUACCGAAUGUAGCCUAUUUGUUGGAUAGUUAUCGACUUGAACUUCUCGUCCACAAUCAUCAUGGUGUGGUUUGCUUGCAUUUUUGGUAGUGAUGAUAUGAAGGCUUACUUCAGGAUGGGAUCCCCACCUAACUCAAAGUAGAUCUUUGCCAUCCUAUGGAAAUAGAUAUCGAUGAAAUUUCUAUCAAAUCAUAGACACUUCAUCUCAAAGAAAUGUCGUUGGACCUUCUCGUUCCCUUAGCCUGCAUCCCUGUAGAAUACCUCGUACAGGAUCCUGAUGUUAAAAUAAAAGUCCUAGGAUGUUAGAUAUGUUUUCUUGUCUGAAAUCCCAAGAGUAUUCCAUUAGUCUCUGAGUAUGUCAGAGAAUCUGGAUGUGAACUCCGAGAUUAUCAUGUAUUUCUCCCGCUCAUCCAGAUUCUUCAUCACCAUCCAAGUGUAGAAGUCCUGGAUUUUCUUGGGCCAGGCUUAAAUCUUUAUAUCAUCGAGGGUGAAGGUGUGAAAUUUGGUUCCCAUGGUCUUUGUUGCCGGUGUACCUGGAUUUAGCCUUCUUUCUGGGUUUGGAUUUUUCGUCAUCCCAGCUUGGUUGUCGAUGAUGUCAGAGACCUCUGGUUCCUUGGACUGGUUUAUUUAUAUAGGUGGAUAGUCUUCUUUUACUGUAGAUUCAGCAUUAGUUGUAUUAGAUUUAUCAGUAUGUGCUGGAUCAUCAUCAGUAGCAUCAGAAUCUUUUAUCUGCAUUGGAGUAUCAACAGAUGAAACCUUCUCUUCUGUGUCUUCAGCGGAUGUUCCAUCACUAAUUUUAGAACAUGCAUUCACAGAUUUAGUGGUGGAUGAGUGUUCUUGCUCUACCUCGGUUUCAAAGCCAAAGAUAUCAUCGAUUGCUUUCAAAAAUUCUUCUUUUAGACUAUUCUUCAGAAAUUGUGAAGUAAUGGCAUUCUCGGAAUCUGCAACAUCUAAUUUAUAGAUAACUUGACUUGGGAUGAUAGAGCUGUCCAUCUUAAGACCACUGUUACUGAGAAGAUAUUUUAUGAUGGAUAUCCACUCUUUAUCUGGUCGCUCUUUCAAUAGUGAUUCUGCAAUUUGGACCUCUGAGUCAUUGUCCGAGAUAAUAAAACCUUGUUUAGGAGCAACAUGUAUUGUGAUUGACUUAUCAACGUGAUGUGGAGCCUGUCUAGAAUGCUUCAUUCUUUUGACCUCAUUUUGUGCCAUCUUGUCUUCCUUUUGAGUUGUCAUAGCAUCCUUCCUUUUCCAUACGAACUUGGCAAUGUCAAACUCUUCCCAUUCAUCCAAUGGGGCAGGAGUGAACAACAUUGAAUGAGUCAGAAAGGUGGAAAAAAUUUUACUUGAUCCUCGUGAAGAAUAUCCUUUCAGAAAUACAAUGACUUUUUAGGCAUGACCAUAUUUCAGAAAAUGGAUUUAUUCUUCCAACAAGGCUCUUUCUUUCUUUUGUUGGUCAAGAAAAUGUAGUAUUGAGGACCCUAGCAAGCAUCUUUUAGACUGUAUAGCUUGUAUCCUACUCUCCAGUAUUCUGAUAAGUAUGGCAUAUUAAGUUGGUGCAUCUGACUCCUCUCGCGUGAAAGAUGGAAUAACAUGUAGUGGUUUUGGAGCAUGUCUUUGGUUAUUCCCUCUAGGUAGGUAGUCUGGUAGGAAUGCAGAGUUGGAAUUGCAUCUAGUUUUAGAUAUCAUGAACAUUGGGGAUUCUGGAUUAGAAUCUAAUAUAGAGUUGGGGGAUCUACUUUGAGAUAGAGUGGGCAGUGGAGGCCAUUCUUGUGGUUUCUAGGAGACUUCAAAUGGAUGGUUAUUAUCCCUUUCAUCUGAAGGCCUCUAUAUUGGGAUUUUUGGAAUCCCCAAAACUCAUCCCAUUCCAAUUCAUCUUCCUCCUCAUCAGAAUCAUUCAACCAGGCCUCUUGGCAUCUCAGACAAUCAAAGUCGACAUCCCAUAGGUAAUGUUCUGUGAAUGGCUCUUGGAACCAGUACACUGUAUGCCCAUCAUGACCAAAGUGUACAAUCUAAUCAUUCCCAUUAAUGGCACUAGUGAUAUAACUUGACAUAUUGGCUGAGUUUGAAUCCUCUGCAUCCAAAAAAGUGUCAGCAAGGGUAUGCAUAUGGACGAAGAGAGAUAUUCUGUAAGGUUUUUUAUCGAAUAUAGGUUUCGGUGACCAGAGAUGUUAAGGAUGAUAUCUCAUCAUCUCAUAACUUCUAAGCCAUGAUUUUGGAAGAAUCGUGAGGAUUUCUUCCUUUAGGAUGUCUUUUGAGACUUGGAUACACUGGGUCGUACCCUUGGUGGCAUCUAUGGUUAAGAACAUCGAGUGGUGGCCACAAGGAAGGUAUAGGUUUCUUCUGUGGUUCUAGACUUGCCAAAAUAUCUAGUGGUGUAAUGUUAUUUGUAUAGGGCUAUAGUCCGGUGAGGCUCCAAGAAUUUGGAAUUGAAGCCUCAUUGCCUUUGUAAGAUAUGGAUCUGAGAGGGACAUGGUGAAGUUGGGGGACAUAUUAGCGACAAUUGUCCUGAGUCCAAUUUGAUGUCCAAAGUGCCUAAAUUCGCAUGUUGGUACUCUUCAAAUCUAGUAUCGGAAAUGGAAAAGCAUUCCUUUAACGGCUGUCCUUUUCUCCCUUGAUAAGUCAAAGAAUUUGAAUUGCACAAAAACGGUUAUGGGUAAAGCUAUACUUUUCCACCGCUGUGGAAAAUUCUUUGUCAUCCCAGAGGAAUAAGAAGGGUAAAGCUAUUACUUUUCCACCAUUGUGGAAAAUUCUUCGUCAUCCUAGAGGAAUAAAAAGACCAUCAACAUCCUCAGUUAAUGGAUCCGUUAAACAUAAUGAUCUCAAACUAUGAUCCAGCUCCAAUUCUUCCCGCGGAGGCUGAUGAUGUUGCAGGCGUGAUUACCACCGAUCACAUCAAACCAGAUGAGUCUCCCCAGCUCUCAAGAUAUCAGGCAAGGCACAAAAGGUACUUGCAGUACAGGAGGGCCACAAAGAAAAAACCACCGAAUAAAGAGCAGAUAUCCUGUAGCAACGCCACAUCUCCUAGAAAGAAAGAUCAAGGAAAGGCUAAGUUCUUAUUCUACCAUAACAAAGGACACUUGGAGAAUACAUGUCCUAAGUCAAAGAAGGCAAAAAGGGAGGCUCAAUAUGUAGGAGGAAAGAUGGAGGAAAACAAGUCCUCAAUCGAAGAUAAAGCUCUUUAUGAUCCAUAAAACAUUCCUAUAUCUACUAGUAGCGCAGGCACAGGAGUGCCCGAGGACUGUCCAUACCCCUUCAUUGACGGCCAACCUCAACCACUUAUUAUCGAUGACUACUUGGAUAAGGUCUCAUUGCCCAUCAGCGAAGGGGAAUUCAAUAGGUUAGUAAAAAUGAUAGAGGCGAUCAACAUGCUCAUGCAAGGAAUCAACAUGAUCUUCAAACUGGAAACCCCCCAUGUCGAACUCAUGCUAUAUCCAAAAGGUUGGGAAAAAACCCUUCAAGUCCUUGCCUUUAUGGACACCGGUGUAACUACUUUAAUACUAAAUCCCGACAUCAUCCCCAAUGAUCACUGGUUCCUCACUUAAGAACAUUUGGUGCAGCAUCAAAUAAAGGAGUCCUUACAACCAAGAUGAUCACGAGGCAGCCAGUCAUGAUCAAAUUCUUCCCAGGCAUACUCUACAGAACGAAGAUCCUUGGCAACAACAUACCGAGAAAGGAUCUGAUCUUUGGUUUUUAUACCUACAGGCAGCUGAAGAAACACCUUAUUAUUAGAAUGAAAGGUAUAACCUUCAUGGGCCGAUUUAUGCAAUAUUCCACUGAACCGAGGCUAUUCCAGAUUUUUGAAAAAACCUAGUAAAGAGGAUGGAAAAGCAGCUGAUAGAAGAAUCUUGUGUUGAUUCCCACAGAGAAUUCCUCAAGAAGACCAAACAUCCCCUAUGGAUCAAUCAGGAAUUCUUCAUUAGACUUCCAUUAAAGAAGAGUGAGAAUGUUAACCCCAAGAAGGCAAGUCAGUCUGGAAUGAAUCCAGAAUAUCUUUUAUCUUAUAAAGAAGAAGUGUGAUAAGCUUAUGGAGUUUGGGCUCACGAGCCAUCAGAUUCCCAGUUGGCUUAUGAGAAAUUCUAUGUUAACAAGCGCGCCGAACAGACAAGGGGAAAGCUCCGUCUAGUCAUAAAUACCAACCCCUAAACCAUUUCCUUUUCGAUGAUAAGUUUCCCAUUCCAAAUAAGCUGACCUUAUUUUCGGACCAGGCAAAAGUCAUCCACUUUUCCAAAUUUGACCUCAAAUUUGGAUUUUGGCAGCUAGGCCUACACCCAGAAGGCAGGGUCAAAAUGGCCUUUUGCAUACCCAAUCACCACUAUCAGUGGAAAGUUAUGUCGUUUGGGCCCAAACCUGCCCCAUUACUCUUCCAAAAUGCCAUGAUUAGGAUAUUCCAGCCCAUCCUAUAUACAUCAUUGUGCUACAUCAAUGGCAUACUGCUCUUCAGCAACAUUUUUAAGGAAUACAUGUACCUCCUCCGUCAGUUCCAUGACUUGGGGAUGCACUUUUCCCAUGGGUCUUACACUCUAGGAUCCGACAUUUUUCAAGAACUGCUUAGGUACCCGACACCAAAUUCUCCAUGAAGCACUCCAACAAUUUCAUGGUGUAAUUAACUAUGUGACAGACUUCAUCCUUGAUAUCUCCACAUACAUCUCCCCACUCAUGAAGAUGCUUAAGAAAAAUGCUCUAGUCUGGGGAAAAGAGCAGGAUGAUGCGGUCUGAAGGAUAAAGGGAAUAUCAAGCAAGGUCAAGACACUCUAUAUUCCAUCGGACGGACCGAUGAUAUUGUAGAUCAAUGCCAGUAAUGACUAUUGGAGUGCAGUUCUCCUAGAAGAAAAAGACAGCCAGCAAAAAAUAUGUUGACAUACACGUGGAAAGUUCAAAGAGGCAGAAUAAAAUUAUUUUCCACCUUCAAGGAAAUUCUUACAAUGAAGAAUUGAAUCAAGAAGUUCAACUUCUUCCUUAUUCACACAGAAUUUCAGAUCGAGAUGGAUAUGUAGGCUUUUCAUAGAAUGGUCCAGCUGAACUCAAAGGACAUCGCAAAUCGACAAAUACUAAAAUGGUCUUAAUGGUUUUCUCCCUCUAAAUUCAAAGUCAGACAUAUCAAAGAAAAGGAGACCAUCUUAGUGGAUUUCCUAUCAAGGCUGGAGAAAUUCUCUUCCAAACACUUCCUGGAGAAAGGUAAAAAGGAAACAAUGUCGCCAUCUAAUGCAUGAUCCAAAUCAUCAAGCAUGGCAUAGACUGGUGGAUGGAAGAAGGAUACGUUAUCCUGUCACCGCCAGCACCAUCGAACACUGCCUGAAAAAUUAUGUCAGAUGACAUGUGCAAGAAAGUUACUCUCUCAAGCAGGUUACCCUUCCCAGUGGGUUACUCUCUCCAAUGUGUUACCCUUCUCAAUGGAUUACCCUCUGCUCCAAGGAAACACUAUCAGAUGGAUUACCUUCACCAGCGUGUUACCCUUUCCAGUGAGUUACCUUCCACAGUGGGUUACCCUUUCAAAUGGGUUUUUGAAGCUGCUCACUCAGUUACUUUGAAGACAAAGAGCUUAUCCAUCUGCUUGUAAGAUGCCUGUGAAGCCACUGAUGGACCUGCUUACAAACUGCUGACUCACCCGCUUGCACAUGCUGUCACUUGCCAACAACAUAGUUUGUUUUAUUUUUUAUUUAGCCCUACACAUGUUAGUAGGUCUUGGUGUUAAUAAAGAUUAGGAUUUUCUAGUCAUAAUAGAUAAUGCUUAGCCCUUCCAAAAGGAUAAGACUUAUCCUUAUAAACAGAUAAUGCCUAUCCCUUAGCUGUUAGUAUAGGAAUUAUAAUAUUUUAUUUUAUGUUUAUUCAUAGCUUAGCUUAGCUAGUAAGAUUCCUUCCUCUAUAAAAGGAAGCCUAGGCCUUUAAGUUAGAGGCAUUAUUUUCUCUACCUAGACCAUUUGCUCUACCAAAAAACCUGUUAUACAGUUUCUCUCAGCUAUCAAUGAAAUAUUUGUUAGCUAAACUCUCUUUCUAUUGCUUUCUCUCUUCCUAAGGGAUGGGUAUUUUGAUCCUUUAGGUUGGUGUGGGGGGUAAGUAAACACUAAGGCAAAGUGCUAGCUUGUUGCAAUGACAACAAUGGCACCCCGAAGUUACUUUCCAUGUUUAUGAAAUAAAAUUGGUUUUGUCCAUACGAUGUAGAUGUCUAAGUACUUUCUAGGUAUAAUGAAAUUGGCUUUGUCCACAUGAUGCAGAUUUCUAAGUCCUUUCUAUGUAUAUGAAACGAAAUUGGCUUAGUCCAUGCCAUAGCUUUCCGAAAAGAUUCAAUAUCUAAGAAAGAACACGUAGAUCUGGGUUUUGCCGUGGUACACCUUUUCUUCUACAGCCAUUUUUAGGGAAACAAGCUAGGGAGAGCCGACGUAAGACCCUUUUUAGGAAAAUACAGAAUACUUGUGUACUAAGGAGACAAGGGAUUUCAUGUGUUCUAGGACUGGCAAAGUCAAGCCAUCCAUCUUUUGGGUUGGAAAGGCUUUGUUGACGACGAAAACCAUCCUUGAUGUAUAGCUUGUAGUUCCAAAGUAAAGCCAUCUCGGUAAGGGUUGUGAAGGAUUUUUAUCUAAAAAGCAAACUAUCUAUAUGAAUGUGUAGCUUAGUCAUAGGAAAGUUGUGGUCUGUCGAUUAAAAUCUUUGAUUUCAUAUGGCAGGCUACCUAUAUGGACGUGAAUCGCCUGUUAUGUUGGAAAGGUUAGUCGUUGUGUCUGUGGUGUUGAAGAAAGAUUUGACUUGUUAAUGUAUACCACCUCCGUGGUGUUGAAACCUGUUGGAAAGUUAGUCUCUGUGUCCGUGGUGUUUGACGAAAGCUUUGAUUUCCUAUGGUAUUCUGCCUACAUAGUCGUGAAACCGCCUUUCAUGUUGGAAAGUUUGGGGUCUGUCGACGAGCCGCCUGGCUGCUCUCUUUGGCAGUCUUCCAUGCACCUCUACCUCUUCGUCUUUGCAUCAACUUCUGCUGAUUGCAAAUGAGUGAGCUGGCUUUUCAUUUUUAUUUUCUUUUGUUUUUACUCUUCACUUGUCCACCCUACUACUUGUACAUUCGUCCUUAGUUUUCGCUUCCAAGUUUUACUACUCAUUUCCUAUACAUAAUAGAGUCAUAAUUUCAUUUCAUUUGUCAGAGUCAGUGUUUUCCAGUAUAGUAGUCUGCGUCUUUUUCAUAAUCGAGUCGUAGUUACUUUCUUAUAUUUUAGAACAUAUAUCAGUUAUGUUCAUAGAUCCUUAGCACAAAUAUAUAAAGUUAAUCCAUAAAAAUAUAAAAAGAUUUUCAUUUUAUUGAGUCUUUUCCAUUGAUAUUUAGAACAAAUACAUCGAGUCUAUACAGUCCAGAAAAAAUACAAAAUAUAUCUUUCCUUGAGUCUUCUUCUUUAGGUAGGCCCAGUUUAUGCAGAUCUCUAGCUCAAGUAAAUAUGUACCCUUCCAAAACUCUGUCAUCCAAAUUUGAUUGCCUAUGCAAAGUAGAUGUGCUACCACCAGAACAAAAGAUAUCUCAACACAUUUACCUAUCCUAAACCCUUACUCUGCCUUUGCGAAAAAAGCAUGAAACCAAUGGCUACAAAUCCGUUCUUUGGUGUAGCAGAGACCGAAAGGAGUAAAAAAAUAUAUUCCUACCUCAAAACUAGACCAGCAUCCUAUUCUGGCAACUCAGGAGGAACAAUUCAUCAGUCUACAGAUACUGCAAGAUUUUCUAAGAUAGUGUAGGAACCAAGGCUUCACCCAUAUCCACAUUGGUGUUGUUAGAGUUGCCUUAUCAUAUCACAGAAGAAAAGGCCAGCCUAUGGUGGCACGUCUUUCACUCCUCGAUACCAGGUACAACGAAUACCAACAUGCCAACUUGGGAACUUUAGAAAUCACACUGAACAUCGGGACAGUCUUCACACCAUAUUCCCCAACUUUAAUAUGACCCUCUUUGAUCCGUAUUUGACGGACGCAUUAGAGAUCAAGGUCCAGAUACUUGGAGCUUCACAGGGGAUAGAUGUCAUGCAGGAAAAUAUCCACAACCAAGUAACUUGGCGAGUUAAGAAUCAUGCUAUGGAUUUAUACCUUCCAGGUGGUGGGGAUGCUUUGUUCUUAAAUAUAGAUGGCACCAAUGGAACCACUCAUUGUGUCCAUAUCCCAAGGAAGUUACCCAGAGAUGAACUUGUGAAAGUACUCCCAGAUUUAUAGGUCACAAACUAUGAGAAGUUGAGAGACUAUACUCAAUUUCUCCAGUCCAAGGAUCCAACCUUUGCCAGAAGGAGUGACAACACCAUAACGAUUAGCUUCAACAACUCAUACCUAAAGCAGCAUCCCAAAACCACCUUCUCAAUUCAUAUGUAUCAACCUUCUAACGACAUCCCACUAUUAGAAGGCCAAAGGUUGACAUGACCCAGGGUUCAUGUGCUGACUCAUAGAUAACUUUUUGGAAGAGAAUGAUUGGAUACCCCACUUCGAUCAUAACGACUAAUAUAUCGUGUGGUGAAAAUAUCCUCUCUCUGGGCAUUGUCCAUGGAAGAUGAUGGUUGCUUCAUCUGCCGAAAGCCUGGCCACUUUGCCAGAAAUUGACCUCAAUCUAAGAAGUCAAAGGACUCCAUCCACCUAUUUGAAGAGAUAGCCGACCAUGCAAGAAUCUAUCUCAGUACGUAGGAUGACCUCGAAUCAAUAUUCUUGCUGAAAGAAGAACCGAUGGAGGACACCCUCUUCUCCAUAGACAUAUAUGAAAAAGCAGGUGAUAUCUAUGCCGAUGAUCUCUCCCUGAUAUCUAGCAAUAGGAAAGACAACUAAUACUAGGCUAUUCAAAUCCUCAUGCUAAAGACCAAAGGGAUACUAUCUUUCGGGCUAGUAGAUUACCUUCUAGAUCUAUUCAACCAAUAAGUGGAUCCCUUCGAUCCAUUCAUCCUCCAAGAAAGAAGGACCUUCUACAAGCUUCAAGUGUUCAAAAAGUAUGUGGAUCCAUCCUAAAGUUGGUCGGAGUUCACCUAGAAUAUCCCUUCUUUCAUGCGCUCAUCGCGCUGGAGAACGACUUUCUGCAAGAACUCCUAUGGAUAUUCUAGUAUAUGUGCCACCAGCACUACAUUAUCAUGGAGUUCAAGUGUGAUGCCUUCAGGUAUUUCGAUCGAUUACAACCUGCUUUAAAGAGAUUUAUGUUGUGGUUCAAGCCACAAGAAUAUUGGAUUCAAAGCUUCAAGGAUUCCUACAAUGCAAUGAUCUUUAUGUUGCAUCACCCUAUAGGAAUCUUAUGCCACAACGUCCAAGCUCAAUUGAAAAUUUCACUUCUCUAGAAAUUUCCCGUGUCCAUACUCUCUCUGGAAGAUGAAUACUAUGAAGCCCAGUGAUUCUUUUUCUAGUAGAAAAGAUGAAUUCCCAAGGAAAUCUGGCCAAAGGAAUGGGGAAAAUAGAACUACGCAGAUGACGGGCAUCCCCACUUGGAUGAGGUUCGAUGAGCAGCAAAAGAAUAUCAACGACAGUAUGAGAUCACUAGAUAAAAAGUCACCAACUCCAUCAGAAGCAUAUAGUUGAAAUAUCCCCAACGAAAAUGCAAAGAUUCAUCAUUUGGAAGGAGUUACUUUACCAAACCGAUGAAGAGAAGCUUGGAUAGCCAAGAAAACCUUAGGCAAAAGCACAAAAUUGAUUGGUGGAUGGAAGAAGGAUAUGUGAUCUCUCCACCGUUGAUACCAUCCAACACAGCCUAAAAGAUGGUGUCAGAUGACAUGUGUAAGAAAGUUAUCCUCUCUAUCAGUUUAAUGAUUUUAAGUGUUGAGAUUGAUAAACAAAGAAACUUCAGGAAUGUUUUCGAGAAGUUGGCCACUACUUAUUGAAAUUGUUAAAUGAAUGGAAAGCCUUUGCAUGAUUUUUGACUUAUGAUUUGAGAUAUGACUCUUCUUAAACUAUAUGCAUGAUCAAGUGGCCUGAACAUUGUUUAAGAAUGAAAUAAUCAUAUAUGGCUCAGAAUAAUGACUUACAAGUCUUGGUAUGACGAUACUAACUUAGACAAUGCUAUAACAGAGACAGACUAAUACAGAAAUCAGACUUUUAUGUUUUAAAAUUUCAGAAUGAUGCAUGUUCAAAAAAGGCUAAAAUAGCGCAUAAAGAGAUGUUAGGUGGUUCCCUGAAGAGGGCACACGAGUUCAGAUAACUCAUUGCCCAAAAACUAUGAUUUGCCAAUCUAGGUCUAUUAGAUUACGCCGGCCUAGUGUCGUGUGGCGUAUCAGAAUCAGAGAUUCCAACCCUUGUGGCAUACUUGAGUUGGGUGCUUCCCCGCCGAGUCAAUGGUGGAAUCCAUAUAGCCUGUGGAAUAUUAAAGUUGUAGGGGAGUGCCACCUAACUCAGAAGUAAUACAAAGAACAAACAGUGCAUUGACAAGAAUGACUUAUGAUUUUCAGAAAGUGCCCAUAUAUUUUGAGAAUUGUUUAUGCAUGAUGUUUUAACAAAUUGCUCUCCACUAUUUUACUUAUAUAAAAGUUUUAUUUUGGAUUAUUUUGCGUACCAGUACAUCUGUAUUAACCCCUCCCUCCUCCCUUCAGAUCUGAGGCUUAGUCUAGGGGUCGAGAAAAGCAAUAGAUUUUAUCAGACAGAGUUGCAGUAUUAUUAGAUAUGGCUUUGGUCUACUGGGGGCCUUGUCCCAAUUUUCAAAUUGUGUUAGUGAUCAUGUAGUAGAGAUUUUGAAGACGGUUAGCAGAUGUUGCUAGUUAGUUUUGAUUUUCAUUUUUAAAUGUUAAAUUCAUAUCAGAUUUAUGACCAUGAUUCCACCUUGCCAUAACUUUCGUAUUUCCUAGUUUAUGUAUGAAUGGUGUAUAUGAUUUCAAGUUUAGAAGGGUGUCCGAACCUUCAUGGUUCGGGAUGCUCGUCACGGCCAGGGCCUCGUUUCGGGUCGUGACAAACUUGGUAUCAGAGCACGGUUCAUGGUCCCAGGGUAUCUGCGAAAUCGCAUCGGGUAAAGUUUUAUUUAUGGGUGUGUAGCGCGCCACACAUAUAAGCAGGGGGCUACUAGGCGUUUAGGAAUGUUUCCCUUCUUUGUGAUCUAGUUCGUGCUUUGGAGUCUAAUCUGCCUCUAAUCAAUGAUCGCUUGCUUUUCAGAAAAAUCGAUCAUGCCUCCUCAUCGCACUAUCGAUUAGAAUGCACAGACAGAUGAGGUCCACUCAUGGGAUGCGAACCCAUAAUAGAGCUCUCACCCUAGAGCCUGUUCCUACCCUAGGAGUACCCCCAAUCCCGACCAGCCCACCUCGGGCUCCACGGACCAAUUUUAACUGUCCCCGACUUCUCAGAGGGAUAUUUCUAAUGCAGAAUUCAGACAGUUUAUUCAUAUGCUGGCACAGUUGGUGGCCAAUCAGGAUUAAUGAUCGAAAGAUGUUGGGUCUGCAUCUGUUACAUCUGAAGCUACUAGGGUGGGUCAGUUCAUGAGAAUGAACCCGCCCAAGUUUACUGGCACCAAGGUAGAAGAAGAUCCACAGGAGUUUGUGGAUGAGAUGGAGAAGAUCUUUAAGGUGAUGCAUGUGGAGGAGAUAGAAGGGGUGGAGUUGGCAACUUAUCAACUCAAGGAUGUUGCAAAUCAGUCGUAUAACGAGUGGGAGGAUGCGAAGGGAGAGAGUGUUGAGCCCACAGCAGGUAUUUCAGUAUCCAAUUUUACAUUAUCUUAUCAGUAUUUAAAACCUUAUAGCGUUGACAGUUUACUUCCGCACCUGUGUAUUUUAUUACUUUAUUCAGUGCUCACAGCAGGUACUAGCUCAUGGGUUAGCUUGUGGUCACUUGUGACAUAAGCACUGUUGUCGCGACUAGGGGCAGACUUGGAUCGUGACAAAACUUGGUUUCAGAGCCUAAGAUUUUACAUUGUCCUAAGAAGUCUGAAAGACGCAUUGAGUAAAGUCUUGUGAAUGAGUGUGAAGCGCACUACACUUAUGGAUAAGAGGCUACAAGACGUUUUAGGAAAAGUUUCCCUUCUUUUGUAUUCAUGUCCUGCGACUGAGCAUAGCUCUAUUUAAACUCUCUUUCUAAUACAUCAUUUAUUCUGUUAUAGAAAAAUGCCUCCUAGAAGAAUAACAAAAGAAGAAACGGGAAGCAGCCCGCACAUCCACCUGUUCAGGAAGAUCCCCUAAAUGAGCAUGUCUCUCACGCUGAAUUCAGAGCCACUUUCACUACCUUAGCUCAUUCAGUAGUUGCUCAAAACAACCAGCAGGUGGUUGUCCUAUAUAGGCUUAUGGUUCAUGCUCAGCAAAAUAAGGAGGAGAAGCGUAGGGAGAAAAAGAGAAAAGAGUAAGAAGGCUAGAACAGGUAGUUUUAAGUCAAGGUCAGAGAGUGGUAACCAUUCCCAGUUCUGCUAAAAAUUCUCAGCCCCAGCUCCUUCUUCAACUAGUGCGCUAGUGCUAAAGUUAAGGAAUUACAAUUGGGAUAGAGCGCUAGGCUCUAGGCCCAAGGUAGCAUGAACAAUGGUCGUACUAAUCCUCUCUGUGAAAGGUGUUGUAGGAAUCAUCAGGGUGUGUGUAGGGAUGUUAGUGGUAUGUGGUACUAAUCCUCUAGUUCCAUGCUUCUGCGCUAUCCCAUCCCAUUUUAUUUAUUUUUUGUUCAUUUACAAACAACCUACUGGCACUCCACAUUGAAAGAGAAGUAUAGUAGUUCAUUGAAAAAAACUGACCGACAAACUAAGAGAAGCAUAUUUGUUUGUAUAUUUUUUGCGGUUCAGAUCGAGCAGGUUAGACUAAGGUGUCAUUUAACAUUGAUUUGAAUUUCUAUGUUAAAGGAAUGUUACAAAUGAAAAGUUUCGUAAAAAUGAAGGUGACGUCGAGGGCAAAUUUGGCCUCAAAGUAUGAUGAAGGAUAUAUUUAGCCAAUUUUCAAAGUAGAAGGGUAAAUCUAGCCUCAAAGUAUGACAACGAUGGUAAAUUUAACCCCAAAGUAUACUUGGCCAAUUUUCCAAAGUAAAAGGGUAAAUUUGCCCCUUUUCCCUUGAAUAUAUGUAAAGCAUCACCAACAUAAUAGACACUACCAAACUGACAUAACUCAAUUGAAUCACAAACGGUUAAUAAAUCAAGCAAAUCCAAAAAUGGAUGGCGUGACAUUUCAUCUUUUAGCCAAUCAAAUGAUAGAACAAAUCAAGCACAUGUUGCAGUCAUUUGGGAUCUAUAUCCAAUCACCUUAGUGUUGAACAAAGUAGAAAUAGGGAAUUGAUGAUACAGUCAUACUUUGCUCCUUUACAGAGGCUCUUGGAACUGUUCACUGGCCAGGAAUUGACAAAAGAAUUCAGUUUCAAUUUGCUUCAUCAUUGAUAGCUAGUCUUGAGUGCUAUAGGUAUCCACUUACUAAUUUAAAUAGGGAUUUAUUAAGCUCCUUUAUUACCUUUAAGAUUUAUGUCAGCAAGCUCUUGUUCAACAUAUUCACCGGCACAAAUGGGAGGAUACUUGCUUGCAAGAGGACUCUCUGAGAAAUGCCCUAAAGGUUUCAGAACUGCAUCUGAUGCUAUGUGUGCAAAUAGCUAGGUGAAACAGAAAAUGAAUCAAGUUAGGAUCACUUUCAACAAGUCAACCUUCAAACAAUUGCAACUUUUGGAAUUAAAUAGAAGUUUCGACCAGAAAUAAAAGGUUUCAGCCCAACUUCCUCACUCACCGUUGAGGAUACUCUCCACAAACUGCACUUUUGCUCCAGAGCUCGUUUAAUUGCAUCAGUGGUCCUAUUAGUUACAACAACUUCAUGCAUGCCAGCCAUGCAUUCUCCAGCUGUCAGCCAUUCUAUCUGAGUACAUUAUUGAACAAGAAGUUAAAAAUAGUAGCAACUGAAACUUCCAUAAUUUGCCAGGUAAAUUAGGAAUACUUAUAAAUCAAAUACCUUCGAUUAUAUGAUACAGAUCUUGAAAAUUGAACAUAUUAAGAUAUGUCUUGAUUAGAAAAAUUGGCAUUUUAACAUUACAUUUAUGCCAGACACUGCCGCAGAGCUAAUAGCGACUAAUUCUAAUUUUCUUAUAAAAAGUGAGCAUAUUUAUUCAAACAUAGAAAAUGAUCAAACAUGACAUUCGUUUUACUUUUCUCCAAUAAAAAUGGAAAAACAUAGGACUACAGUUUACUACUUCACCAUGCCAAUGAAAAUCUAGCAGUGGUGCAUAAACAUCUUAAGACAGCAUAGUAGAUUUAAAUGUUAAAUGCAUUAGUACUGUCAAGAAAAUAAGGAAGUGCAUAGAAUACUUUAUACCUGCUUUCCUGCCUGAAUAAGGAGGCAUCCUACAGGAACCUUCACUUCCAUUUUUAGCCCAUUUCUAAGCCAAAUACUUAGUCCAGGAAAUCGACUUCUCCCAUGAAUUGUAAGGAAGUUCAGGUCAUAGUGGUAUCCUGCAAAUACUGUUCCCUCUUUGCCAUAACGCCUCAAGUCACUUCCCGUUGGAGCAAGCAGAUGUGGUCCCUGAAAAUUUGAAUUAGUAUAGAGAGUUGAACUAAAUAGAGAGAAAACAGACCGUGUCCCCUACUUAUGUCAAGAAAGAAAUAUAAUGAUAACAAAAUAAUAAAAGGACAGUCCGGUGCACUAAAGCUCCCACUAUGUGCAGGGUCCAGGGAAGGGCUGGACCACAAGGGUCUAUUGUACGUAGCCUCACCUUCUUCAAGGGGCUGUUUCCACGGCUUAAACCUGUGACCUCCUGGUCACAUGGCAGCAACUUUAUCCGUUACUUCAACGCUCCCCCUUUCAAUGAGAAACAAAAUAACAUUCCUAGAGAACAUUUUUUAAACUCGCAGAACAUAUUAUGAUCAUACACCCAAGAAUAUUAGUAGUGGGUCCCAAGUACCAAUUAGCAAGCGCGAUUCAAUAGAGAGAGACUAUUCCAAAUUUUUCUUUCAGAAACAAAUGUAUCUGUUUCUUGCAAUUUUCUUUCUUGUCCAAACCAUUUUAACGACCCCACUUGUGGGAAUUCAUUGGGUAUGUUGUUGUUGUUGUUGUUGUUAAAACCAUUUUAAGCAACAUUCCACUCGUAAAGCAAAGAAUGCAAGAGUUGUCAUCUCAUUUUUAUGAUCCUCGUGACUCUUUUUGUUCACAUCUGAUUUAAGGCAUUUCACUACUCACAACAAAGACCCAGACUAUACAGAGAGGGUUUUCAGCGAGAGGUGAAGGGUUGGAACAAUAAUCAGGUAUGUGCAUUGAUGUUCGGUCAAAAUACACACAUUUUAGCUAGUAUUUGCCUCACAUUUUGCUACUUCAAAUUGUCUUUGAGUAUUCAUCAAAUUGCUUUGUGCUUAAUAUUUUAUUUUUACUAUGUAGGAAAAUAGGAAUAAAGAGAUGUAAAGAUGAAGAGAUUUGAAGUGAAUGUGAAUAGAAAGUGGAAACUUAACAAAAAGGGGCAGCAAGAUAACGUUCUAGGGAAUACAAUUGGGAAUUUAUUAGGUGGAACCAUGUGUAAGGUUAAAAAGUUUGUAGAUCAGCAUAUUUUAUGGAAGCUUGGAAAAGGGGAUGCAGCUUUUUGUUUGAUAAUUGGACAAAAUUAGGUCCUCGGUGCAACUUUUUACCUGAAGGUCACAGGUCAGAAGAAUUAAGCUCUCCAAAAUGGUUUAAACAGUCAUUUAAAUUGGGGUGACUGGUAUCUAUUAUUCUUCCUCAACAUGUGGUUGAUAAGGUUCACAGUAUCCAAGACUUUUUAAUAUUCACAGUCGAUAACAAACCUAUCUGUAUGGCUGACAACAGUGGAACCUAUUCUGUGGCUUCAGAACGGAAUUUGUUCAGAAAGAAGCAAAAAACUUAGAUUAAUGCGAUGAAAUGGAAGAAAGGUGUUGCUUUCAAGAUGUUUCAUUGUGUGGAUAGCACAGAGAGACAAGAUAACCACUGAUGCAAGAAUUUCCAGAAUGGGAAUUUCAAUUACUUCCGCGGAUGUUCUACCCACCCAUCUGUUAGAAUAUGAGUAAGAAUAGGAAUAGCAUAUAGAGUCCUAUUUGGAAAUGGAUUGGAAUAUAGUGUCUAUAAAAAGGGUCUCAAUGUAAUAAUGUAGUUACAUCAAUUUAAUAAUAUUCUUCCCUUCCAUUUCUCACAUGGUAUCAUAGCCUCUACGAUCUUGAUAGAGAAGCAAAGAGUUUCCACUGCUGGCGGGCGGCUAUUGCUCAUUUACAUUGUCCGUCUGGCCAAUGAUCGUGUUAACAAAAGUUGGGCCUUCGUGCUUCUUUCGGGUGGCUUCUCAUAUCUAAUUUGCAUAGCAUCAUGCAUCUUUCCGGUGACUACUUUCUCAUAUCUAAUUUCGGAGCAUUGUGUAUAUCUACCGUGGCUACUUUAUCAUAUCUGGUUUGUAAAACUCCGUGCAUCUCGUUGGACUACUUCUCAUAUUUAAUUUGUGCAGUGUCGUGCAUCUUUACGGACUACUUUCGCAUAUCUGAGUUGCAUAGAACUGUGUGUCUUUUCGGUGACUCCUCAAAUCUGAUUUGGCGCAGGAUUGUGCCAUCAUUCUGAACCUACACAUAAUUUCUCUUUUUCAGCAGGGUAUUGUCUUCAUUUCGUUCCUACCCAUAUAAUUUCUUUUUUCCAGUAGGGACGUGUCGUCAUUCCGACCCUACCCACAUAAUUCCUAUUUAUCCAAUAAGGUCGUGCCACUAUUCCGCCCCUAUCCAUAUAAUUUCUCUGGUGCCGUCAUUCCGACCCUACCCGUAUAAUUUCUAUUUAUCCAAUAGGAUCGUGCCACCAUUCCGCCCUUAUGCAUAUAAUUUCUCUUUCUCAGUAGGGUCAUGCCAUCAUUCUGACUCUACCCAUAUAAUUUUUUCUUAGAUUGUGACCAUUUUUCAACAAUCAAAUCUAAUAACCCCGCAUGUGAGCAUGUUUCGGCCAGUUUUUCGGUGACUUUCUUGUUUAAGAUCUACUUAUCUCUUGAUUUCGAGAUGACCCAUAUAUUUUAUACCAGUUUCCGGCAAUUUUACAGCAACAAAUCGAGUUUCCGGCAACGUUACUACUUUUCUUCAACUAAGGUCUCCUAGACAUCCGGAGCAACACUUACCAGCUUCCUUACAGAUAUCUUCACCAAAUCCCUCAUUGAUCCUCAUAUUAAUUAUAUCCAUAAUAAGCUUGGUACAUAUGUCUUGUAUGUACCAACUUGAGGGAGUGUUAAAAUAUGAGUAGUAACAAGAAUUACAUAUAAAAGUCCUAUUUGGAAAAGGAUUGGAAUGUAAUGUCCAUAAAUAAGGUCUCAAUGUAAUAAUGUUGUUACAACAAUUUAAUAAUAUUCUUCUCUGAUAUUUCUCACACCAUCACCACAGAUUGGAACUGCUGACCACCUCUUCUGCAUUAGUUCAUUUAUUUGCUCAAGAACUGUGGAGAAUAUUGUGUGACCCUAUGGAGAUCUACUGGAGCAGAGGCAAAAUGAAAAAUCAUGUUUAUACCUUUGUUGUUAAAAGUCUGGAAAUAAUUGCCUCUUGGGAGAUAUGCAGAGCUAGGUGCACUGCCAAAUAAGAUGCAACUAGAACUAAUGUGAGGAAGUCGCUAUCUCUUAUUGCAUUCUAUCACCAAUCUUGUGAAUCUGCAAUUUAGUCAUCUCAACUUAGAGUCCAAAUUGGGAAGAGGCUAUUCAGUUACUGAGAAGCAACUUGCACUUUCCAAAGACUAUUGUUACUGAAUAGAUUAAACCCACUCUUUCAAAUGUUUAAGUUAAAUUCCAGUGGUAGUAGUAAGGAUGGUAAAUGUGGUGGUUGAGGCGUGAUAAGGGAUAAGGCUGUCUAAGUUUUGCUUACUCUCUGGUACUUGGGGAACCAGUAAUUGGGCAGAGGCUUCUGCUCCUCAUUAUGGCAUAAUAUGGUGCUUAUUAUGGCUUUCAAUUCAUUGAUGGUGAUAGUGACUCCAAACUUUUUGUGAACUGUGUUCAUAACCUUAACUCCAUGGAGGAUAUCUAGUGAAUUCGAAGAACUUCAAGAGCGCAUGUACCACACAAAAUUCACACUUCAACACUGCUACAAGGAGAGCAAACAAGUUGCAGACAAGCUUGUGUCCCUUAACCAUUCCCUCAACCAGACACAACUAUAUCAAUAUUUGAUGAAUUGCCAUCACAAAUCAAGGGGCUUAUGAACAUGAAAAGAUGGAAUAUUAUGAACAUGAAAAGAUGGAAUAUACACACCUUUCGGAGAUGCAAACUAAAGGAGUUACAACAUCACCUUUGAGUCUCCAUGAUCAAGCUGUUCUUACAUAGUGUAUUUCCUCUCAAGUUGUUAAAAAGUUAGUGCCAGCUAAAUUUCACCACGGAUUAGUGAGUUAGUUUCUAAUCCCUCACCUCAAUGUAACCUUGUCUUGGAGAUGAAUAAAAUGAGCAGUUAGUAUUUAUAAGGGCCCGAUGCACUCAAUUGGUGCUUUCCAGAAAUACACUCGGCCUUUAAAAAUGAAAAUGUGACUAUUGACCAAAUAAGUUAUAAAUAGCACAAAUUCCAAUCUGCCCAGACCAUACCCCCUAGAUUGCAACUCCAUGCCUUUAAACCCAACCAAUCAAGUUGAAACUUACUAUUCUCCAUAGUCCCCAAUAUAAAUCUGAAGACCAGUAAACUUAUUAAUAAUGCUAUUUGUAUAUGAAUGAUAUAAAAGGUCACUAGACAUAAAAGGACCAAGUCACACUAGUAACAGUAACUGCAGCAAGGCAGGGAAAACUCAUUAGAAAGCUAAGUCGUGCAGACUCUCCACUUUCAAUGACGCACCCGUGUCAGAUUCUCCAACAAUACAUUACUUUUGGAGAAUCCCACACGUGCCCGUUGACAUUUUUAUAAGAGUCCGGGCAACAUAAUUCGAAAGGACGUUUUAGUCACAAUGUUAACAGAAUCUGAAAUAAGAAAAGCAAAGAGAGAUCAAAGUGCGUAACUUUUUUUAAAAAGUAUCAACAUUUGCUUCUUGUUCUGAUACAUCCUAGCGAAGAUGAAGAUAUAGCAUUCAUGUAAUAGAUCCACGGAACAAAUUGCAACCAGUGAAGUAAUGCAACAAUUUUCGUACACGAUACAAGCAAUACUAGAAAUGUGUAUUCAAGCUCUUCACAUGUUGGAUUUUAUAUCAAUGUCACACCAACAACAAUCAGUCCCACUUAGGCAAUCUUAGGCAUAUCCAUUGUUCAUCGGAAUCGAUUUUAAGUGAAAUUCUGUACACCGACUGCCUUCCCCUUGGAGGUGAAGGGGGAGUUCUUGAGUUGUACCACAAAACAGUAUCAUAACCGACAAACAAUAAUUAAUUGUCAUCAAAUUUAUAAUACACAAGCAAUCCAUUGGAGACCCAAUAUGAAAAAAUUUCCACCGACAUGAAACAACAGUCACCUGCUGCAUUAGGGAAGUAAAUGCAUCCUUUGAGAGACCAAAACCAAUGGCAGCCAUUUCAGCAACAGACUGAAAAAGACCAAGCAGUCACAUUUCAGAAUUGUCAAACUAAUUACAUAGAUAAAACAUACAAAUGCUUACGACCCACCUCUAUAGUAGAUACGAUCUUAUAUCCCCAUGAAUCCAUAGUACAUUUCCAUUCAGGAAAGCCUUCAGGUAUUACUGGCUCUGAAUUCAGUUCCUGAAAGAAUAUAAUGCUUGUUUACUUACUAGCAGCAAUUUUCAGUUCUUAUGGCACUAAUUGUAUUCAUUGAUUGGUAACUAAAUCAAGGAAUAUUUUUGAUCAAUCUCAUCUUAAAUAACAUGAUUGAAAUGGGGAAAUGAGUGGAGAAACCUUAAAACGGGUAAUCUUUGGACGGGGACCAACUCUCCACAUAUAUCUCCAUUUAGGAUCUGGUCCAGAUGGACUAGAUGGUUGAUAUUCUUUAGGCAUUGCUUUGAGCUUCUCUUUCAUUUCCUCAUCGACCAGGCUACGCGGGACUUCAACUCCUUCAGGUGUCACCCCCACCUGUGAGACAUUGACAUGAAUAGUCUUCCAAAAAAAGAGACUUAAUGAGCAGACUUGGAAUUUACUGAACCACCUCUUUUUCUAGUUAUUAAUUGAUAAAAUUAGCAGUCGCUCCUCAAUAAUUGACAGCAAAACCAUGAGAAAGAAAAUCAAAGCAAAAUAAGUUUGUUAUUUCAACAUGUAGUACAUGCAGCUCCUUUAAUGUUAAAAAAAAAUGUAGUAUAAGCAUCAGAAAAUAGAAAUUGUGUACUAUUCGAAGUCGUUUCCAAAUUAGAGUCAGAUGCUCUGCAUCCCUUUUACUCCCGAAGUCUUUUACCAUAUGCUUUUGUACAGUUUAUUAGCAACCUAUAAGAGCUGUAGAGCAUUUCAUUCUAUGCUUAUCUCGCUGAUAUAGCAAGGGAAAUAGAAACAGAACAGAGAGUUCCAAAUAUUUUUAUGAGAAAGGUAACAUAUAUAAUAUAAAAAGGGAACUACACCAAAGGUGUUUUCCAGUAAUAAUUACAAGUAAUAGUCAGAACAGCAAAACCUGCUACCUAUCUACACAUAAGCAUUCUAGAACACAAGAAAUGUCCUCAACUACUAAAGGAUAUUCAUUUUUACGCAAAAAAUGGAAUAGCACUAAACAGUUCAUUUUUAGUUUCUGGAAAGUACAGGAUUUAUCUUCAAAACACCUCUGGUUCCUCUCUCUCCAAAUAGUCCACCAUAUGAAAGCAGGGAAAAUUUUCCAUCUCCCCCAUCAGUGUUAAAAAAAGCGCUCGCUUCAGUGCUACUUGAGUGAAGCGAGAAGAGGCGAAGGUCAAGCGCUUCACGGCACUAAAGCGAGUCGAGGGAAAGAAAAAAAAAACGCUCAUUUCAGCAGAGGAAGCGAAAAGCGAGGCGAGAGUAAAGCGUUGCUUUUAUGGAAAAAGCAAGAUUUUAGGUCUAUUUUUAAAAAAAAUUGCAACAGUCUUACACAUUUUUUUGGUUCUUCUUGCUGCUGUUCUUCUCCGAUUCUAGGGCUUCAAGCUGAGUUCUUCUCUUCAAUUUUUUUUUCUUCUCUUCUCCUCUUUUCCUGAUUCUUUCCUUUUUUACUGCUCUCCUCUGUUUUCAAUUCCUUUUCUCUUCUACUAUUUUCAAUUUUUUUCUCCUUUUCCAUUCUCCACUGCUUUCUAUUCCUUUUCUCUUCUCCUCUUUUUUUCUUCUUUUUUCCUCUGUUUUUUAAUUCUUCACUUCUCUUUUUUUGAAUUUUUUCUAUUCGUCUCUACUCCUCUGUUAGUUUACUGUAACUUUUUUGUUCUCUGUUUUGUUACUUUUUUGUUUUAGCUUUCCUGUUUGCUGUUGCUUACAAAUUUUCAGUUUAUUGUUUGGUUUCUGAUUGUAGUGAAAAUCUUUAGCAUUUUUAUCCUAUUUAUGGCAUUUAUUGCUUACUUUCCAGUUUAAAAUUGAAAAAAUUUCCUUAAUAUGUUAUUUCUAUUGAGUUCAGGGUUAUCUAUGCAAAUUUAUUAUUUUCUAUUUUCAAGAAAGGGUCAUAUUUGCUUUUGUACUCCUAGGAAAAGGUUAUAUUUACCCCACGUCAUACUUUUUGGUAUACUUGCCCUUAGCAUCCAACUUUGGGCACAUAUUUGCUCUUGGACCAUUAACUCCCAUGUCCCCAGCCUCAUUAUCUUACCUGGCGCCUACAUGGAUAUACAUUUAACCCAAUUAAAAUUUCCUCCCAAUAUAAUUCUUCCUCCCCACCCAACUGACCCAACAAACCCAAUUGAGAAUUGUUCUUUACUCUCAAAACUGCCAAAACAACAAGUGAACCAAGUCAAUAGGGAAGUCUUCAGGUGAACUUAUUUCCAUCUAGUAUUAAAAUCUAGAGGCUUGUGAACGAUGAAAUUUCUUGAGGUAUGUCACUAUGAAAAGAAAUUUGAACUGAGGUCUAGUAUCAGUUAAAACUUUCUACAGAAAUCAGUGUCAUUGUUCCGAUUACUCAAAGCAUUUGGAUAGUUCAGGAGAUUAUGAAUCCUCAAUAAGGUCUUUGAUUUUGAAGAUUGUAGUUGCUCUGAGGAGCUAAUUGAGAGCAAUAAAAAAAUUAGCAAAACUAGAAGAAUAUAAAUCCUAAAUGUUUUUCCAUCAGCAAAAUCAUUAAAACGACUGACAAAUUUACACUUUUUUUAGCUUUCUUGGAAACAUUAUUUGCAUCAGAACAUAGGAAAUUGCCACUUCUUCGCUAUUUCAGCUGAAACUUUAGUAAGCCAACAUAUCAAACUCUGAAUCCAUAGAAUUUAUUUAAUAUAACAAUUAAAGAAAAGUGUAAUAUUUUUUUUGAAAAUGGUAGCAGACUGUAUAUAAAUCAUCAGCACAAAAGCUGGAAGCCACAAUUACAUCAUUGAAUCUAUAUCCAAAACAGUAGAAACAAUAGACCAACACUAAAUCCCAUCUCAUCUUACAAGGAUUCUACUAUAGAAAUUGGGUCAUCUAUAUACUCCGAGCUACACCAAUAACAAAAACUUAUACUGCAGCUCAUCUUUAACUUUUGAAGAGAACUAUUGGUGCCUUCAAAACACCUAGAGUUUCUCUCUUUCCAAAUGAUCCACCAUAUUACUGCUGGGACAAUUUUCCAUCUGUCUUUAUUAGUGAUACCACCACCCUCAAAAUUCCAGUUAGUACCUCCCCUGUUCUUUCCAGCAUCGUCCACCUAAUGCCUCUUGCCUCUGAAGCUGGUAAAUAGAUUCCAAAGUUGGUUGACUACGUUACAAUGAAGAAACAGAUGAUAAAUUGUCUUUGCAUUAUGUUCACAAAAAAAGCAUCUUGAGCACAAAUGUUUGCCCUUAUUCAUUAGGUUCUCCGGAGUUAAAAAAGCUUCUUUCACGACCAACCAAGUGAAAAUAGCUACUUUAUGGAAUUUUACUUUCCAGAUAAGCUUCCAAGACAAAAACUGAUCUAAGAACCCAUCCAAUUCAUGUCCUUAUAGGCAGAAUGAUACAAGUCGAAUUACCCCAAAGAUUCUAACUCAACGUAAUUGGCGAAGCCUUAGAGAUGAAGAGGAGUUUUGCGGUCCACCGGGAUGAGCAUGGGCGAUGGAGGAGUCUUUCUUUGGAUAUUAGGCACUUUAGGUCACUUUUGGGCCCAUUUUGUAAUAAAGAGCCCAUGGCUAUAAAUAGCUAGGUUCCUUCUUUUCUUAGACUUGAAUGAUUUUUGAUGAGUUUACACUUGAGAGUGUUUAUCAAGCGUGUUGGGAGCUUCGUUGACUGUCUAGAAACGUUGGUUGCGAGGGGGUUCAAUUCCACUCUUGGUCUUCAUAGGAUUUAGGUUCUUGUAUUAGGAUUACGUUUGAGGGCCUUGGGUUAAUAUACCAUUGGUUUGCCUACGUUCCUUCUCAUGUGUCUAUCUAUUU